UUCUCCCUCACGCAUAAACACUCUGAGAGUCACGAUGAAUAACAAACUCACAGUGCUGCUGGUUCUGCUAUGUGCAGCUAAUUUCCACGUCACCUUAUCAUUUGUCACAGAUGGUAAGCUCUCCUCUGUUAUUUAUGCUGUUUUUAUCUCUUUAUUUAUAGACGAUUUUCAUACAGCUCCUAGGUAGGAGGUUGUCAUAAAUAUUGAAGUCUCGUAUUAUAAGCGAUCUCCAUCUGCUUCUGGUUUAGUCCCUAUGCAAUAAGUGAGAGAUUUUUAAGUGUAUCAAAAUAUAGGUCGAGACAUUAAUGAAUAUCGUACUUGUUUCAAAAAAAAAAAAAAACAUAGGUCGACACAUUAAAUGUUAUAACAUAAGUAGAAGAAAAUUAUGAAAUAUACCCUUACAGUUAUGUCGUCUAUUUAUAUUAUAACACAUAAUAUACUAUCUUGUGUUUCGGAUACACAAAAACUUCUUGCAGUGAGUUCAGACACUCUUUAACUCAAUGAAGAUGUUGUUUUCAUUGAUUUCUUACUUGUAAAGUCCUGCAAAUAAUAAAUUCCUUCUCCUAAGUUUUUAAUACCACGAUAGCUAGAAUUCAGGCUAAGCCAUAAAUGAGUCAUAUGAAAUUAUUGUUUACAGGAGUCAAAUUUAAGAACCUACAACUAUACAUAAUGCAAAAUACCACAAAAACGUAAGACUAGUUAGUAAUUUCUUCUUCUAAAUUGAAAACACAAAUUAUAAUGGAAAAAAGAAAUAUGAAAAUGCCCUACUGCUUGGGAGCAAGUCUUCUUCGGGAGCAUAUGCAUAUAUUUUUGGUUGGCCAGGUGUUCAUUUCUUUCGGUGCCCAAAAAACGUUUUAGCUAGCUGCUUAGUUUAUGAAUAUCAUUUUCGAUCAUGUUGAAGGAUGGUAGCCCUAGUUUGGGAGUGAGGUGCUUAAAAAAAAAACACCCAUGAAAAAAAGCUGUGAGGGUUUUAGGUGUUUGGUAAACUGAAAAAAAAAGGGCUUAUUUUGGAAGCUGCUGUGAGAAUAAGCUGAAAUCAAAGGAAAAAGCUGAAGCUGCUAUUUGCAGCUUUGGAAAACUGGUUUUUUUUCAAAGCACAUCGAGCUACAAUGCUCCUUUAAUGAAAAGACUCACUAUCAGACUGCCUUUUUUUUCCAAAAGCACUUUUACAAAAAAGUUUACCAAACACUCUGCUGCUUUAUUUCACAGUCGCUUAUUCUCACAGCACAGCCGCUUAUUCUCGCAACAGCUUUUUUUCAAAGCACAACAAUACCAAACCAGCCCGUAGUUACAUUUAGUAUUAUGAUUUAGUGAUAUUUAUCAUCACUUUUAAGUGAAAAAUUUUAAAUUCGACUUCGUAGCACAUAAAUCGUAUCAAAUAACUUUGACACAUUAUCUUAGGUUGGGUUUGGGAGUGAGGUGCUUAAAAAAAAAGCACCCAUGAAAAAAAGUUGUGAGGGUUUUGGGUGUUUGGUAAACUGAAAAAAAAAAGGCUUAUUUUGGAAGCUGCUGUGAGAAUAAGCUGAAAUCAAAGGAAAAAGCUGAAGCUGCUAUUUGCAGCUUUGGAAAACUGGUUUUUUUUCAAAUCACACGGAGCUACAGUGCUCUUUUAAUGAAAAGACCCACUAUCAGACUGUUUUUUUUUUCCAAAAGCACUUUUACAAAAAGGUUUAACAAACACUCUGCUGAUUUAUUUCACAGCCGCUUAUUCUCACAACAGCUUUUUUUCAAAUCACAACAAUACCAAACCAGCCCUUAGUCCAAUUUACACAUCAUUUAGUCAUACUGUACCGCCAAAUUGACACUAAAAUAUACAUGAUAUUUUUGCACAUGAAAAGAGCCCUAGACUAUCUUUUUGCACAUGGAAAUCUUGUCGGGCGGAGCUGUACAUCUUGUUUGCAUGGCUGGCAGCACCACUAUCGUUUUCAUCUUAUUCCCAAGUUGUACUUAAUACGUUGAUAAUGACUAAAAUACCCUUAUUGUUCACAUUUUAUACACUCAAAACUCAAAAGGACGAUCGAUACAAUCAAUCGGCUAUCUAAUUUGGGUACUAGACAAGUCCUAGAUAAGGAUUUUGUCCCCCAUAAGGUCAUCGACAAGAUUUGAUCAACUAUGUGGGUGCCACCUUUGAUCAAAUAUUGAUCAUUAACCAUAUCAUUAUCAUGUACUACCAAAUACUUUUUAGUGGUGUCACAUGUGAACUUGUUCGUACUUGCAUAAUAAUUCAUUUGUAGAUAACAUGUCACACACAUACAAGAAAUUUGCAGGCAAUUCAAUUGAUUUAAAAUAUUUACUUUUGUGACCGGUGUCUUAUGUUUGAACUCUUUUUACGAAUAUAACUAGUACACACUAGAUUUAUAAAUUUACUAAAAUUAUAAUACGUAAACGACUAAUCCGAACAUAUAUGUAUUACAUUAUAUUGUUUGAUUUUCAAUUAAUUGGCAAUAGAUUUAUUAUAGGUUUUGACAUUGGCUCAUCAACCCAUUUUCAUAUAUCACAAUUACUAUUUUUAUUGUUGGGGGAGAAACUAGAAAACAAGAAACAAUGUGAUCACAUCACAUGAUCGGUCGAUACAUAACUUGUGAUCCUCUCGUGGCAUCAAUAAUAUGAUUUAAUAUUAGGAACAAAGGCAAAUACAAUCUCACAUGCUACUAAAACUUACUAACUGUAGCUUUCGGUGGUCCUUUUCAUUUCAUAUUAUUUCUUAAAAUUAAUUUUGUUAAGAGUUUUGGCCUUUAAAUGAUGUGGUAUGUGACAACAAUAUGCAAACAAAUCAAAUAUUGUCAUGUCAGUUAGUGGUCACAACUGUAAGAUUUGUUUGAGUGAAUUUACAUGUUAUUGACCAUAACCCUGUUCAUUUCUCAGGCUUAUUACCCAACGGCAACUUCGAGUACGGUCCAAAGCAUUCAGAACUCAAGGGCACGGUAGUGACGAACCCUAACGCAAUUCCCAACUGGGAAAUAUCAGGCUUCGUCGAGUACAUAAAAUCAGGUCAAAAACAAGGUGACAUGCUGCUGCUCGUCCCUGAGGGCGGCUUCGCAGUGAGGCUCGGGAAGGAGGCCUUGAUCAAGCAGAAGUUGAAGCUCACAAAAGGCGGCUUCUACUCCGUCACAUUCACCGCUGGUCGGACGUGCGGGCAGGAGGAGAAGCUGAACGUGUCCGUCAAUCCCAACGUUGAAGAAAAAGACUGGGGAAUAAUGCCAAUCCAGACAAUGUACAGCAGCAAUGGAUGGGAUUCGUAUGCAUGGGGUUUCAAUGCAGAUUCUGAUGAGGUUGAGCUUGUGAUCCAUAACCCUGGGGGGGAGGAAGAUCCUGCUUGUGGCCCACUUAUUGAUUCUGUUGCUUUGAAGCUCUUGGAACCUCCUAAACGUACUAGAGGUAAAAAGUUGUGGUUUUUUGUUUGCUCUUGCUAAUAUGAAUCAUUUAUAGCGUCAACUAUAUUGUUCAAGUGAUAAUUUGAUAACAUAACUUGUCAGAUCUAAAUUAUUAUUUUUUAAAUAUCAUACGCAAAAUUUAAGAAAAAUUUCAUUGGUAUCAUAUUGAUACAUUUUUUUAUUGAGCUAUAUUAAUACAUUAUUAACCACAUUCUCGAUUGCCUUCUUUUUAAAGAUAGAACUAACUUGUAACCCAAGUCAAUUGUUCGUGAAUUUGAUAUGACACAUAAUAACAAUAUGACGUAACAUAUGUUACAAACAUUUAAUGUUGUCAUUUUUUGUACCAGAAAAAAGUUACUUAUCAUUUUUGUUCAAUUAUUAUUUUUCCAGCCAACUUGUUGAAAAAUGGAAACUUCGAAGAAGGGCCCUAUGUGUUGCCCAACACAUCAUGGGGAGUCCUAAUCCCACCCCACAUAGAAGACGACCACAGCCCACUCCCAGGCUGGAUCAUCGAGUCUCUCAAGGCCGUUAAGUACAUCGACUCCCAGCACUUCUUCGUACCCGAAGGCCGUAAAGCCAUCGAGCUUGUCGGCGGCAAAGAAAGCGCAUUGGCCCAAGUCGUCUUCACCAAGCCUGGCAAGCUCUACGCCCUUACAUUCUCCGUAGGUGACUCCAACAACGCCUGCGAAGGCUCCCUCAUCGUCGAGGCGUUUGCCGGCAAAGACACCCUCAAGGUGCCGUACCAGUCCAAAGGCAAAGGUGGGUUCAAGCGCGCGAGGCUCCUUUUCACCGCCGUGGGGCCGCGAACCAGGAUCAUGUUCUACAGCACGUUUUACACCAUGUCCGCCGACCACUCUGGGUCUCUGUGCGGCCCCAUCAUUGACGAUGUGAAGUUGCUUAGCGUUCGUAAAGUACGUGUUUGAUGAAAUGCCUCUCAGAAAAAGUUAUGCGGCUAGUUUGGUCUUUUAGCUGAUUUAAGUUAUAUGGGAAGGGGAGUUUCUGAAUUUUACUUUUGUUGUAGUAGGAGGUAGAUGUGUAUUACGAGCUUAACCACACGGGUGUUAUCUAUAUAUGUGAUGUGUACCAGUGUUUAAAAUAUCAACGAAGUUGUCGAUAUUUCCAUCGAAAUAUCCGUAAAAUCAAGAAUUGAUUUGGGAAGCGAGUGUGAAAUGCAAACUUCAUCCUACAUUGGUGAGAUAUCGGAAAAUUCAUGAAGAUCGACAAUGUUUACCGUUCAAUACGGAAAUUUCGCCAUAACCCAUCGCAGAUUUCAACUUUUGAAUUUUUUGAGAAGUUUUUCUCUAAUUUCGAAUAAGAUGAGUUGUUAUGCCCACGCCAAAUUGGAGGUUUCCAUCUUCAAAUUGACACUUGAUCUCUUCAUCUUCAAGUUUGUGCGCCGGUUUCUUUUGUUGCUUACAGAUCUCUAAAAUAUAUUUGUAUUUGUUUGUACCAAACUUGACUAAUCCCGAAACUACCGAGUACCGGUCAACGUUAUACCGUCAAUGAUCCAGAAGAGUUUCACUUCAACCAGGAGGCCAAUCACAGAGCGACACGUGUCGACAUCAUAAGCCAAUCAUAGCGCGACACGUGUCAACAUCGGAAGCCAAUCACAACACGACACGUGUCAAUGUCAGAACAAGACUAGAAACUUUCUUUAUAAAUAGAGAUCAUUCUCUCACAAUAUUUCCUAAUGUCAUUUGUACUAAAUCGUUCACUAGUACUCACUAAAGGAAAGCUUGAACCUAUGUACUUGUGUAAACCCUUCACAAUUAAUGAGAACUCCUCUACUCCGUGGACGUAGCCAGUCUGGAUAAACCACGUACAUCUUGUGUUUGCUUCCCUGUCCCUAUCCAUUUACAUACUUAUCCACACUAGUGACCAGAGCAAUCUAGCGAAGGUCACAAACUUAACACUUUCUGUUGCACCAAAGUCCCCACUGAUUUUGUGCAUCAACAUUUGGCGCCGUCUAUGGGAACGACACUUAUUCCCACUCUCUUCAGCUUUGCCAAGCUGGUUUCCACCAUUCGUACACUCUCUUUUGACCAAGCAUCAUUCUCCAACAUGGGGAGCGAAGGAAGCCACAGCACACAGAAUGACACCCCUCUUGCACCUAGUGUGAAGCAACGAAAGAAUGAAGGAAAAAUGGUUGCUCUUUAAGCUAAAGUCGAUGAGCUAGAAGCUCAGAACAACAAGAUAGUAAUGAAGAAUGAGGUCCUCCAGGAGCAGUAUGAGAAGUUCUUUGAGACGCUCCACAAAACUAGGCGUACUCAAACACGCGAGCUCGUUGCCCCUGUGGACAUCAACCAUCAUCAUGGUACCCUUAACACGGAGGGUCACCUCCCUUUGACAUGGGAAUCCCUGAUGAGGAGCAAGCUAAUCAUUAAAACAUUGAUCAACAUGAGACUUCUCUCAACCCAGAUGUUUCGACCCGAAGCAGGAGAAGUGGAGGAAGACACCUCCUUGCAAAAGGGUUGGAAGGAUCGAAAACCGUUUAUCGUGACUGCUGAGACUUCCUAAAACAACGUCGAGAGAAUCCCCUCUACAUAUGCUCGAAGAUCAAUGACCCAAGGGUUUCUGAAAGACUCGGUCCUCUCCCACGACCCAGGCCCGCUGCUAAUCUAGGGAAGGAACAACAGGUCCCAGAGGAACAUGAAGGUACAUGGGACUCUGAGGUAUUUCGAUAGACUCGCCUUAGAAGUCAAUACGGCGAGUCCAAGAAAAAACCACAUGCCCUUGCUCAAACUUUCCUAUUUCCAAGAGGCAAUGGAGACUUACGAAAGAAAAUUUCAGUGGUACAUGGCUCCACUCAGGACCCCAUUGUCCUACAUCUCAUUGAAGAAGUAAACAAGUUGAAGGCCGAACGUCAAUCCGAGAUACCUGACUAGAACUAACCCAGGCCUGGCCCUCUCACAAGGAGGAUCCUCGACCCCAUUUCAAGGGAAGACAAAACAAAAGCUUGCUUUACAACUAUAUACUGGAAGGGAGGACCCAAUUGAACACCUUAACCUCUUUGAGUCCACCAUGGCAUAUCAGAUGCACACCGACGAAGAGCGAUGUCUUCUCUUCCCCUUCACCCUUUCUGGCGGAGUUCUAAACUGAUAUUGCCGUCUUCCACCUGAGACAGUAGACUCAUUUGAGGAAUUGAGGAAACUGUUUGUUUCUUAACACAUCUUCCAGAUCGAUCGCUUGCAUUCUACAAAUGACUUGUACACUAUUCGCCAGAAGCCGGACGAGUCACUACGAGAGUAUGCCGGUCGUUUCAGCAAUGAGUAUUCUAGUUGCGCUGAGGCAAAUGACAAGACCGCCCUCAAGGCCUUCACAGCAGGCCUACGUGAUUGUUUCUUCAAGUACAUAAUCAAUGCCAACACUUGGAAGACUUACUCUGAGGUGAUGGCACAUGCUUACAACCACGCCUCCGUCGAAGCAGGGACAUACCAAGGGAACCCCCAUAUGGUUAACCCCUAUCAACAAAUGGGAAGUAGAAGUCAAGUUCUACCAAGUGAGGAGAUCUUGGCCAUUCAGACACCCAUUGCAUCAUCUCCUACCUCAUUUAGCUACUCGUUAAGUCACCAAACGUAUCUAUCUCUUGGUAACAAGGAUUUUUGCUCUCAGCAAGCCCAUUACAAGAAGAGGGAUAAAAGUUCGUAUCAAGACAACCAUGGGUGAAUGUACCGUCGACUAUUAUGAUUAUGGGGCCAAGCAUCACUCUUUCAAAGUGGAGGACUAGGUACUGAAAGAAAUGCUAUUAUAUGAAGGCAUACACAUUACAAAUGUUUUGACUCUCAACCGCUUGAGAUCUUUUGUCACACAAGCCAUUCGGCAAAUAUUUAAAGAAGAGGGAAUUCAGACAACUUCUUCUGAGUCUUUUACAUUCCUAGCACUGGAACACUUAGUCUACGCUGACCUACCCUUAUACUCUAACUCAGAGCUUCAACAUGCAUACUUUGACAUAAAGUAUGUGAUACUAAGUGUUACAACCAACAUGGUUCACAUAUCAAAAGCAUGGAUCUCUUCAUGCAUAGCAAAACAUUCAUAAGCAUCACUCAUAUCAAUCAACAUAAACAUCAUACAUUCCAAUACAUUCAUACAUAAACAUUAUACAUUCCAACACAUUCAUACAUUAACAUCAUACAUUCCAACACAUCCAUACAUAAGCCAACUGUGCUUCGAAAGGGUUCAACAUACCUUGUGUCUUCGACACUUGCUACAAUGUGUAUCGACACCUUGCCCUUAUUCUCACCAACCAGGUGAUGAAAUGUGAAGAAUGAACUCAUCUUCAUGCCACCAACCAGGAGAUGAAAUGUACAACCCGUACUCUCUUUCAUGCCACCAACCAAGUGAUGAAAUGUACAACCCGUACUCUAAUAUCAUUUGGCAACUUGCCACUCAUGCCACCAACCAGGUGAUGAAAUGUACAACCCAUCCUUUCCUUCAUGCCACCAACGAGGUGAUGAAAUGUACCACUCGUACUCUAAUAUAAUUUGGUAACUUGCCACUCAUGCCACCAACCAGGUGAAGAAGGAACUCAUCUUCGUGCCACCAACCAGGUGAUGAAAUGUACAACCCAUACUCUAAUAUCAUUUGGCAACUUAUCACUCAUGCCAUCAACCAGGUGAAGAAGGAACUCAUCUUCGUGCCACCAAGCAGGUGAUGAAAUGUACAACCCAUACUUUAAUAUCAUUUAGCAACUUGCCACUCAUGCCACCAACCAAGUGAAGAAGGAACUCAUCUUCAUGCCACCAACCAGGUGAUGAAAUGUACAACCCGUACUCCCUUUCAUGCCACCAACCAGGUGAUGAAAUGUACAACCCGUACUCUAAUAUCAUUUGGCAACUUGCCACUCAUGCCACCAACCAGGUGAAGAAGGAACUCAUCUUCGUGCCACCAACCAAGUGAUAAAAUGUACAACCCGUACUCUCCUUCAUGCCACCAACCAGGUGAAGAAGGAACUCAUCUUCGUACCACCAACCAAGUGAUGAAAGCAACUCACCAUUCAUUCCACCUACCAGAAGACGAAUGGUACAACUUGUACAUGUGAACUCCUAGCAUUCACAAAUAAUCAAAAACCAUCAAGCUUGAGAACUCAACUGGGGGAGCACUUAUGACCAACAAGAGUUAUAGUCAUCAACAAAGUCUUAUUGCAAUCCAACAACAACUUCAGUGCAUGGCAUACGAAGAUCAAGCUAUUCAGCCCUCUUGCAUCUGCUUCAGACAUUUCCCCUCUGUAACAAUACAAACACUACAACUCGUAGAAAGCUUCACACACUCUUGAUUAAGACACUGUGAAGCAAAACCAAUUUAUGGUACCAAUAAGAGCUUCAUCAAAGGAGUUCAACCACAAUUCUCAAAAGCUUCACAGACUCUUGAUCAAGACAGUGUGAAGCAAAACCAAUUUAUCGCGCCAACAAGAGCUUCAUCAAUGAAGGGCAACCACAAUUCUCAAAAGCUUCACACACUCUUGAUCAAGACAGUGUAAAGCAAAACCAAUUUAUGGUGCCAACAAAAGCUUCAUCAAUGGAGUGCAACUACAAUUCUCAGACCUUCGAAGCAAAUUCAAGACUGUUCGAAGCAAAUUCAAUUUAUAUGGUUCAUCCAAACUUUCGACUACUACAAGGUGUGGCUUGCAUCACAAUCUCUUGCUCAACGGUGUGGAAGCAAAAUUUGUAUAUGUUGUCUCUCCCACAUUUUCAAAUUUCUAGUUUCCCAAAAAAAAAAAAAAAAGGGAAAUUCAACAAAGCUUCAUCAAUAGAGGACAACUACAAAUUCUCAAAAGCUUCACACUAUCUUGAUCAAGAUAGUGUGAAGCAAAAUCAAUUCAUGGUACCCAACAAAAGCUUCAACUCCAAAACUUCACCUACAAAGCUUUAAUUCCAAAGCUUCACUAACAAAAGCUUGACCCACAAAAGCUUGACCCACAAAAGCUUGACCUACAAAAGCUUCACCCACAAAAGCUUGACCUACAAAAGCUUGACCUACAAAAGCUUCACCCACAAAAGUUUCACCAACAAAAGCUUGACCCACAAAAGCUUGACCCACAAAAGCUUGACCCACAAAAGCUUGUCCCUCAAGCUUCACCCACAAAAGCUUCACCCACAAAAGCUUGACCUACAAAAGCUUGACCCACAAAAGCUUCACCCAUAAAAGCUUGACCUACAAAAGCUUCACCCACAAAAGCUUGACCUACAAAAUCUUGACCCACAAAAGCUUCACCCACAAAAGCUUCACCCACAAAAGCUUCACCUACAAAGCUUCAACACAAAAGCUUCACCUACAAAAGCUUUACACUAUCUUGAUCAAGAUAGUGUGAAGCAAAAUCAAUUCAUGGUGCCCAACAAAGCUUCAACCUCAAAGCUUCACCUAUAAAGCUUCAACACCAAAGCUUUGCCUACAAAGCCUUUAAUAUAUAUAUAUAUAUAUAUAUAUAUUUUUUUUGGAAAUUCGAAAAUUCAAAAAUUCGAAAAAAUAAAUAAAAAUAAUAAAAAAUUGCCUAGGUCUCCUCUUCUUUGGGCCUAACAACUUUCAUAACAAAUAUAUAUGAAGACAGAGUUUUGGGCUACCACUUAGAAAGGAAAUGCCUCAUUCGUCAACUCCCUCUACCGAAGACUUGGGGGACUCCUACCAUAUGCUACUGCACCUUGAUACUCGGAAGUCUCACGACCAUUCAGUGACUUGGAUUUUUCAAGUCUCCAAAUGAGAAGUUUUCCUCACUCGGGAAAUUAAGGGAGCACUACCUCAACCUACAUGCGUCACUCACAAAGCUUCAACAUACAAGAUUCAACAAAAGGAAAAAUUCAAAGAACUUAGUGAAGAAGGCCUUGGUGUAUUUAACACAAUACGUUGAAAUGAAGCAAAGCUUGUUUAUUGAUAUCUCCGAUAAGUUACAAAUAUGUACAUAUACAUGAAUCAAAAUAAACAAACAAGAGGAGCCUUCACAAAGGUUGCUCAGGAGAAGUCUCAGCAGUCGGCAUAGCCCCAAAUCGAAGAGGCACCAGAGGGUGAUUAUUCGGAGCCUCAGUACUAGGCAGAACCCCAGAAGGAGGAGGCACCGAAGGUUGAUCAUUUGGAGCUUCAUUACGCGGUACAACCCCAGAAGAUGAAGGCAAUAAAUGCUUUGGAACAAACCCACAAACCUCUGAUGAUCAAGUAAAAUCUGACCAUCAGAUUCCUGCAGCUGGUCGAGCUUCCUCUUCAUGUUUGUAGCAUAGUCAUGUGCGAGCCUGUGCAACUGUUUAUUCUCAUGCUUGAGCCCUCUGAUCUCCUGUUUGAGACUUAUCACUUCAGCCGCCAAUGAUUCAACUUGGCGGGUUCGAGCAAAUAGGCGUUGGGCCAUAUUAGACACAGAACCUGCACACUGAACACUGAGAGCCAGAGAAUCCUUAACAACCAACUCAUCAGACCGUUUGGAAAGUAGUCUGUUAUCUUUGGGAGUGAGAAAGUUCUUGGCUACCACCGCAGCGGUCAUAUCAUUUUUCAUCAUAGAGUCCCCAAUGGUAAGAGGACCAGUAGGGGAUAAGAAAGAUGGGCGCCAUAUGUUGUCUUGAGAAGGCAUGGCUGCCUUUUCACCAAAGUUCAAGUCAAAAUAAUGGUCGGAUGGGCCAGACAUUCUUAUAAAUGAUGAAGGAGAAAUGAGGUGCACUAAAUCUCUGAAGUAAGGGGAAAAUUCCUACAAGCAAUAACUCUCUGAAUGUACUUCUUGCACACAAUUGGUGCCCUUAUAAAAGAAAGGGCAAUAGGGUCGUUGGUUUAAAAAUCGAAGAGGCACCACUUUCCACACGCAACAUCAGCUCCUCGGAUACCACAGAUAACUUUGCCAAGGAUCUCUGAAAAAGGUUAGACACAUAAAUUUUGAAGGUCUAGCUACUCUACUAUUACCCACAAGGGUAAGGGAACAGCACCACUGCUUGAUAACUAGAAAGUCCCAAUGUGUGUCAACCUCCGUACUUUGUGGCAAGGCAGACUAGCAAAAAUGCCCAACCUUUACUCACAUUCGAGAAAACACUCCCAACAAGAUUGUUUGCUCAAAAAUCGAAGAGGCACCGCUCUCCGAAUCUCGAGAGCCAGACUCCUAAUAAGAUUACAUGCUUAAAAAUCGAAGAGGCAUCGCCAUCCAAAUCUCAAGAGCUAGACUCCCAACAUGAUUGUUUUCUUAAAAAUCAAAGAGACACUGCUAUCCAAAUCUCAAGAGUCAGACUCCCAACAUGAUUACUUUCUCAAAAAUCAAAGAGGCACCGCUAUUUGAAUCUCGAGAGCCAAACUCCCAACAGGAUUACUUGCUUAAAAAUCGAAGAGGCACAUCGCUCCGAAUCUCGAGAGCCAGACUCCCAACAGGAUUACUUGCUCAAAAAUCGAAGAGGUACUGCUCUCCGAAUCUCAAGAGCCAGACUCCCAACAGGAUUACUUGCUUAAAAAUCGAAGAGGCACCGCUUUCCGAAUCUCAAGAGCCAGACUCCCAACAUGAUUGCUUUCUCAAAAAUCGAAGAGGCAUCGUUCUCCGAAUCUCGAGAGCCAGAUCCCUGACAGGAUUGCUUGUUCGAAAAUCGAAGAGGCACCGCUCUCCGAACUUCGAGAUGUAGAUUUCCUUGGUUAAAGCUUGUCUGAAAUCUUCACACGCAACAUCAGCUUUCCAGAUACCACAGACCACUUUUUCAAAGUGCUCUGACAAAGUUAAAACACGUGAAUCUUGCAGCUUCCACUACAUUGCUAUGACCGAGAAAGGUAAAGGAACAGCCUUACCACUCGCUGUCAGGAAAAUUCCUAUAUAUGUCGACUUUCAUCCUCCACAGCCAGGCAGACCUGCAAAUAAAAAAAAAUGCUCAACUUUUCUUCACAUCCGAGAGGGCAUUCUCAGCAGAGUAUCUCGAAAUACUCAGCUUCUUUUCCCCCUGAUAAUACAUCUGUAAACAAGCCACACCAAAGCAAGAGUAUCUCAUAUCAUCAGGGUUAAAAGCAAGAGUAUCCCAUAUCAUGUUUUUUCCCUAUCUUUUCCUUUGGCCUUGUUCUUACCUGCAAGACAAUGACAAAUAGAGCAAUCAAUCAGCACUUGGAAUCAAGCUUCCAGUCAGGUACUGACUGCCUGGAACCCCUUGCCUGAUUACUUACCUGGCAUUGCUCUCGAGUACUCAUCUUCAACAUCUUAUGCUUCCAGAGAAAAUACCACAUCUACCUGAGGAACAUAUAGGCAAGUGAGAAAGAUACAAAGAAGCAUGUGGUGACAAGCGUAAGAGAACACGUGCCGAUACAUCCACUACUUUGUCAUCAACAAAAGUAUCACAUAUCAUCAGGGUCGAAGGUACUCUAGAUUUGAUGGACUUGUUUUGACCCUCAAAUUCUUGAGUCGGCCUUAUACUCUGGAGGAAACCAGAAAACCUUCCAGCCUAGUUCAAGAAUAAGCCUGUGGAAAGUUACUUCUUCAAAAGCAAAAGUAUCUCAUAUCAUCUCUUCUCCAUUUGCUUCUCCUUAUCCUUGUUGCUGUUUACGACACAAGGAGAAGGAGAACAAUCAACCGGAAGCCGAAGUCAAACCUCCGAUCCAGGUUGUUUGCUUGGAAGUCUGAUUGCUUACUUUGUCUGUUACCUCUUUCGGAAAAUCUCCUAGCUCGGCGACUUGGGGGACUCCUACUACAUGAUUUGUAUCGCGCUUGACCAAGCCUGAAACUACAAGUAAGCUUCAAGUGAAAUUGAUACAUUACCUUGUGCAUCUCCACCGGUUAAAGAUACCACCCUUGGAUGGAGGAAAAGUACUUCUAGAGAAGAUGUCGCAUCUACCUAUAAGACAGAUAAGGCAAGUGAAGACGAUACCACACUUUGGUACUUAGAAGUUUCGUGAUUACUCAGCGGCUUGGAUCUUGCAAGUCCCCAACCGAGGAGUUUCCCUCACUCGGGAACUUAGGGGAGCAUUGUUUGUACCAUACUUGACCAAUCCCGAAACUACCGAGUACCGGUCAACGUUAUACCGUCAAGGACCCAGAAGAGUUUCCCUUCAACCAAGAGGCCAAUCACAGAGCGACAUAUGUCGACAUCAGAAGGCAAUCAUAGUGCGACACAUGUCAACAUCGGAAGCUAAUCACAACACGACACGUGUCAAUGUCAGAACAAGGCUAGAAACUCUCUUCUAUAAAUAGAGAUCAUUCUCUAACAAUAUUUCCUAAUGUCAUUUGUACUAAAUCGUUUACUAGUACUCACUAAAUGAGAGCUUGAACCUAUGUACUUGUGUCGACAUUUGUAUAAAUCGUUUACUAGUACUAAAUCAUUUGUAUAAAUAGAGUUUCACUUCAACCAGGAGGCCAAUCACAGAGCGACACGUGUCGACAUCAUAAGCCAAUCAUAGCGCGACACGUGUCAACAUCGGAAGCCAAUCACAACACGACACGUGUCAAUGUCAGAACAAGACUAGAAACUUUCUUUUAUAAAUAGAGAUCAUUCUCUCACAAUAUUUCCUAAUGUCAUUUGUACUAAAUCGUUCACUAGUACUCACUAAAGGAAAGCUUGAACCUAUGUACUUGUGUAAACCCUUCACAAUUAAUGAGAACUCCUCUACUCCGUAGACGUAGCCAGUCUGGGUGAACCACAUACAUCUUGUGUUUGCUUCCCUGUCCCUAUCCAUUUACAUACUUAUUCACACUAGUGACCAGAGCAAUCUAGCGAAUGUCACAAACUUAACACUUUCUGUUGUACCAAAGUCCCUACUGAUUUUGUGCAUCAACAGUAUUACUGAUCCAGAAUUUUAAAUCUUUUAAUAUCUUUAUUUAUUUAAGAUCUUGAUCGUUAUCUCCUAUUAUAUUAAUGUUAUUUUACAUAAUCAAAUGAUGUGUUGGAUUUGAAAAACACUAUGUCUCAUAGGCCCCGCUCAGGUGCUAGGCGGCUGGUCACCGCUUCGAUUAAUGGCUAGGCAUUUGAAAAUUAAGAAAUGGUGCCUAGACUUGCUGAGGCGCCCGCCUACACCGCCUAGGCACCUGCCUAGCCCGCCUAGACCAGCCUAAACACCUGCGACUCACUUAGACAGAAAAUAGAUAACUUUCAUUUUGCAUUUUAUUUUUCUCAAUAAAUUAUAAGAGGCUUGUUGAAUACUUAAAUGAACACACAUCAUAUGCUUGUUCAUCAUGUUUUCAUUAUGUUCCAAUACUUCAUAAUAUAUAGGUCAUUUUAUUUUAUAGUUUAUGCUGAAAUUAUAUAUAUUUGAAGUAUAAACUGACAAUUAUUUACACGAAAUAUAUUAGAUUUACUUAAAUCCGCCUAAGCGCUAGAACCCAACCUGUUGUCCAACUAGUACUUAGCGUCUUUUAGAAUCUUGGUAAAAGCAAACUGACACCAUUUUUUUCAUGAGUAAUGUUAGAGAGACAAAAUUUACAAACUAAAUGAUAUGUCACCAAUAAAAAUAAACACAUUUAUUAAUACUUAAGUAAUAAUUUAAUCAUUAAUUUUAAUAUUUUUUAAUUUAAUAUUCCUAACAUUUUCCUUUUUAUCAUACAGCAGCAGCAAAACCAAUGAAAUCAAAACGAAUUAACAUAAACCGACAUUUAUGCAUGCUUGAUGCCAAAAGCUUUUUAAAAUUUUUUAAAACAAGCACGAAAAAACGCAGCAGCCCUUUCUUAGUCCAUCCAAAAACGAAAUGGCAGCACCAACUCUUUUGUUUUUUAUUGUCAAAGCUCAAAUAGCCGCAGCCCUUUUGAUUCUUUUGAAAAGCAUGACAGCGGCCAUUUCUUUCUUUCUUUCAAAACAUAGAUACAAAAGGGCAGCAGCUUUUCUUUAUUUUUUUAUUUUUUAUUUUUUAUUUUUUUGGCCUUUUCCUUUCAAAACGAAUAGGCAGCCAACACAUCUUUAUAAUCUUGACCCCUAUAUGAAUUAAGGGUGGGCACGAAUCGGGCCUAAAUUUAGAGGAACCAAACUGGAUCAGUUAAAAAAUACAACGGAAUAGGAAGGACUGAAUAUAUAAAUUUUGAGAUUUGAAACCGGAUCUAAUCCGACCCGUUUGAAAUGGAUCGAUUCAGACCGGGUUCACGGGUCCAAUUACAUUUUUAUUUUUUGUUCAUAACAGAUCACAAAGGGGUGAAUACAUUUUUCACAACCGACCACAAAAAGAAAAAAAAGAAUACAUGUUUCUUAAAUUCCCAUCUUUCCCAGCCAAUAUUAACAAAUAAGAGCAUACAUAGAUGAGUUUACAUUCAAAUCCAAUUAGUAUACAUUCAAAUCCAAUUUGCAUGAAAUCUUCCACUAAUCAACCAAACACAACCUAAUUAAAAAUAACCAAGUCUGAAGCAGAAUAUUCAAAUAUAUACAAGCCUGAAACUAUCACAGGACAUACAUAUAUUCAAAUAUACAGAAAUUGAGAACCCAGAAACAGAAGAUUCAAAUAUGAUAUUCAAUUUUGUGUUCAACCUUUUACCAUUUUCCAGCCAAGAUACUGCUAAAUCUAGAGGAUCAGUACCUUUAGAAAAAGCUCUUUCGACCUGUUGUGGAAAUGUGUUUCCUAGGCGAGGUUUUCUUUUACUAACUUUGGUUUCAUAUAAGCACCCACCUUUUACAUAAAGAACUCCAUAUAUAAGCUGCAGCUGCAGUAGGAGACUUCAACAUGACAUAAAACUCUACAUGAUUGAGAUGACAUGGGAUGAGAUUGAUUGGCAAACUGAUUACAAAAUAUCAGCACGUUUUUCUCACACAUGUGGUAGACACCAAAUUCUCUCUAAAUAUAUAAAACCUAUUUAGCUGACAAUAUCUACCAAUUAGCCACAACAACUAAAUGAGCUGUUGUUUAAGUCCAAACCAAAAAACCAGUUCAACCAGUUCGUAUGCUGCCAAAAUUAAAUGUAUUUGAACCAAAACUAACCUAACCAUGUGUAAUGCAUGACGAAUUUACUUGAGUGGAUAUUUAUAAAAUACUUGUUAUUUUUGUAAUCGAAACUUGAAAGCACGAGAAACAGACUUAGAUUGAAAUAAUUACAAUUGAAAUAUGCAUUAGUUUAAGACAUUACAGACUCAGGUGUUUAGUUUAAGAAUUUCCAAUUUUACUCAGUUCUCGUUUGAAUUGUACAUCAGUGGGAUAAUAUUCAACAAAAGAAAAAAAAAUUAGUAGGAUAAGGACUCCUUGAUAGGGGUGGCAAGGGCUGGGCCAAGGCUCAAAACUGAAACCGAAACUAAAUUUUUUUGCGGUCGGUUCAGUUCGGUCUUGAAGCGAAAAACAAAAUGAAACCAAACCGUUUGGUUUGGUUCGGUGUAGUUUCAAACGGUUUCGGUUCAGUUUCAAACCAUUAAUUACAUACAAAAUUAGAAAGUAAGAAGAACACCUAAAGUGAGGGGAAAAAAGGAUCUAAAGCAAACUUAGUUGUAAUCGUCAUACAACUAAGUUAUAUGUUAGGUGCAGAGACAUUAAAAUUCAAAACUGAAUCUUCUUCAAGAUCUCCAUCUAUAAACAAAUCUUCAAAUACAGGACAACAAGAAACGAGUAUCCAUUGAGUUGCCAACGGGAUAAUGCACAGUAGCACGGAGGAACUGGUUACUUGGAAAACAGCCUGAGAUAGGAGUAACGCUAAUAUCGUUACAAAGAAAAGUCAGCUUUAAAACCACCAGAGUGUUGCACACCAAAAGCCUUCUUGGUGACUGAUAACCCUGAUAUGUAUUUGGCGUCCAAGUCUACAAAGAGAUCCAACUGGAUGGAACGAUUUGAACAUAUCAAUGCGUGCGGUGUAACCAUGCAAGGCGGUAAAUAUAUAUUGACAUAUAUCUGCAGAAGUUGAUCCCUUCAGCUUCAACCGAGAGGCGAGAGUAGCAAUGCCUCUGAGCAAUGGACUGUGAAGACUAAAGAAAGUGAUGAUAUUCUAGUGUGCAUGGUUGAGCCAUGCUAAAUGUAUAGACUAACAAACAACCAAGUAAAACAUGACAUCUAAUAUGGAUAUUUAAUUAAAUUUUUAUUAAUAUUUACGGUGCGGUUCAGUUUCGUUAGGUUUUCAAAAACCAAAACCGAAAUCAAACAAUUUCCCUUUACUGCAAUUCAGUUUCAAAUCGAAACCGUUUCAAAACCGAACUGUUCGGUGCAGUCCGAUUUAAUUUGUAUUUCAAUUUUGAUUUUUGGUUCUAAGUGCCCACCCCUACUUUUUCUUGUGUUAGAAUUUUGGAUUUUCAUGGAUUUGGGAUUUGUGCUUUGGAGCUACAAUUUGUUUGACAGGUCAUAUGCACAGGCAAAAUUUCCAACGAGGGAAACAGUCUGGGCCGGACUCCCAUUUUCUCACAUUUUUGGAACCGUCCCGCCCUGAUAAUUUUGUCCCCCUGUCCCACCUUUCCUGAUUUUGUCUUUAGAAUUUUUUUGACUCACCUCAUACAUGCCCUAAACCACAUGAACAUGCCCCAACUCGCGGGUCCAGGACCUAGUUGCCCAACCCUACUCGUUGAGUCUCUUAUCUACGGAAAAAAAUGGACAUGUUAUAUAGUAUUUAAUUAUUUAUUCUUGAUUAAGACAUGCAUUAUGGUUUGAUAUGGCAUUCCCUAAAGUAUUAUUUUAAAUUUUCACAUUUUGAGCAAAACUCCAUCAUUUUUUGCCAAAGCAACCGAUAUUGGUAACAAUAUAUCUAGCGAUAUUUCUAUAAAUUUGCAUAUCGAUUAUUUUACAAAUAUCGAUAUUUUAAACAAUAAUGUGUACAUCUUUUUAUCAAAUUAAAUGAAAGGUUUGUGAACUAGCAAAACCUUUUUUGUUUUUGUUUUUUUUUUUUUGGUAUUAAGUGGUGUUUUUGUUUGGGUUUUUUUCUAUCACAAAUACUUCUUUAUGCUUUGUAGAUCCAUAAUUUUCAUUCUUUAUGUUUCAGUUUGAGUCACCCUCAAACCGCAAAAACCAUUAGCGAAACACACAUUUUGAGUAGCUUGUCUAUAAGUCUAUACCCUCCCCCAGAAAAUAGUACCUGAAAUCCCAAGGAUGGUAUUUUCUAAAACUUUAGUGAAUUCAUGCAAAAUAAUUAGCAUUUUAAUCAAGAUUUAAGAGUACGUGUAGAUGUUUACAAACACCAAGAAAUUUCUAUGUUCUUCGAGUUUAUGGAAUUAAUAUUUCCAGGUCAAUAUCUAUUGUUACACUCAAAGAGUUUAAUUAUUGUCAUCUUUUAAACCCCAUAUGUAACAGAUAGUCCCUAAAAAUUAUGAUUUUUAUAAUUUUAAUAAGUGAGUUUACGAAAAUGCCCUUCGAGGCAAAGCAUUGAUUUUUUUGUUGACCGUCGUGUCAUGGCAUGUAAGGUUCAUUUUCUUAGCAUAUCCUCAUAGUACUCGUCGGUACGGACUCGUGGGUGCAAAUGGAACACAAUUUGAAGUUUUAACGAAUGAGUUAUUAACAUUUAAAGUUGAGGGCAUUUUAGUAAAUUGGUUAAUAUCUAUAAAAAUCCAGAUUUUUGAAGCAAAAUCUGGGAUGCUACGUGUGUGGCCCAGAUUAAAAGGAACAAAAGAUGGUCGGUGCAGAUGGCGUAUAAAGGAGAGAAAGGAGGGAGAGGUGGGACAAAUCAGAAGAUGAGUGAUGUGAGGAGAACCAAUAGGAAGCAGAAGAAAGGAGGGGAAGGGAGAGAAACGAGAAGCACAUAAUCACCCUUGACCCGUGCGACCCGCGAACCCGAUUGCGACCCGUAGGUUUCUCCGGUGAAAUUCAUCAUUUUUUCAAUGGAUUGGGCCAAUCUACCACUCCCAAUCCUCAUAUUGACCCUUCCUCUACCAUUUCUACAUCAAAUUUUAGGAGAUUAGGUUCGAAAUUGGGAAGAAAUGAUCCCGUGGGUGCCAUGAGACCGUGGGUGAGAUCCACCAAAUCUGAAACGUUUUCUUCCCAUUACCACCACCAUUGGACUCCCCUUGAGGCCUGGAACAAAGCCCAAGCAUUGGUUGGAGCGUCGGAGUUGUUUUGAAGUCAAAUAAAAAACAUGCCAAACCUAGGGUUCCGGCGGGUUUUCAUGAAAUCGAGGCUUUUUUUGGCCAAAUUGGCCUUAGUCACAUGUAUGAAAGUUGCUCCACUCACUGAGAUAUUCAUUUCUGUAAUUUUUAAGAAUUUUUCAAAAUAGUUUAUUUUUCAGGCAAGUCGGGGCGACCAACCGCUACCUGCGGCAGCACGUGGGCUGAGAAGUCUCCUGACCUUCCUAGGCUAAAUUUGAAUACCCUGAUUCCAUUGGUGAAGUUCGAUUGACAAAUUUUCGUCAUUUAAACAUAGCCAUUAAGGUCCGUUGUUUGAUCAUUAUAGCAAUCGACGAUCCGACAGUUGGAUCAUCACCAAACUUUGAUACGUUAUAGUACAUAAUAUUUGAGGAUAUUAAAAACUUACAGAUUAGGAAUCCGACAUACGGAUCUUCCCAAAUAGGAUAUGUAAGUUACAUGUUCUAUUGAUAAGAAUUCUAAGACAUGAUUUGAUAAAUGUUCGUGACGCCUUAAUGUUUGUGAUGGGGAGUUGUAGUGCGGACUCUAGGUGAGUGGGCUUUUGCUUUUCUAUAUAUACGUAUUUAUGCUUUACAUUUUCCCAGAAAACUGUUUUGAAACGAGUGUAUUCUUUUAAAUGCCAUGUCAUGCUUACAUUUCAUUCUAUUAUAUGCAUUCGUAUGUAUAUGCAUACUAUUGUAUGACGCUGCGGAGGCCAGGUAAGUUCAGGUGAGUAUUGUAUGAUGUUAGUGGUUGCAUUGGUUAUGGUUAUACGUAGAGACGUAUAGAGCUCAUUAUCCUGCACCCUGGUGUUAGUGUUCCCACCUAUAGCCAGGGCACAGUCCUUUACGUGAAGUUCACCUCCCGCACCGCACGCUCACCUUGGAUCCAAGUUUGGUGCACAGGCUUGUCAUACAGACCACAUUAGGUGGUUCCGACUUGUAGGUGACCCACGAUUAUUUGCACAGGCUUCACGUGAUCGUAGCACUUGAGCAUACUUAUUUACACUCAGCCCUGUCGUACAGACCACAAUAGGUGGUCCCGACUCGUGUGCAAGCAUAUUUAAUGAGCUAUAGGUUUAGCCGUACAGGUCAUGUUAGGUGACUUCGGCUCGCAUAUCAAUUUACAUUGAUUUAUUUCACCGGGCUUACUUAUUUCAUUGUUGAUAUACUUGACAUGGCAUAUACUUGGUUUUCACUAUUCUCGAACAUGAUUUCUAUAUACGUAUGUAUUAUUAUUUUCUGAGAAAUUAUACAGGUUUUAUGGCGAGAGGUUAUAACGUUUUCGAAAGGUUUUUAUUAAAAACUUUAUUUUCAGGCCCACUCACUCUUAUUUUGCUCCCCUCCAGGUUUUAGCUGCUGAAAGUUCGUAUCAGCGAGGAUUCGUGGCGAAUCUCAGUAUAGGUGGCUACCUCUGAGGGUAUGAUCCUUACCCACAUUACUGUACUUUACUUGUGCUCUGACGUCGCUUGUGAAAUGGGUUCAUUCUCACUCACAUCGCACUCUUGUCUUUAGGUACUUUUAGGUUUAAAUUUAUUCACAUUUUCCACACCACUAUGCUUUAUGGUUUCGUCACCUUCCAGGUGUCGGCCAUCACAGCUCGAUUCAUAAUCCUAGUAGACAUUCUAGGUCAGGGUGUGUCAGUUUGGUAUCAGAGCAUAAGUUGGGCAGUAUUGCGUUCAUCACACACGUGAUGUAAGCAUUUUUAGUUCUUGAACCUAAUUUUUUAAGUUUGCCACCUCAUCGAAUAUGAAAAAUAUGUUAGAUUUUUCCUAAGUUUUGUGGGUAGCUUUGUUGACUUGUUGACGUUUAGAAGAGUACUUUGGCGAAUGCCCUUAGACUUAAAGCGAAGAAAUUCCCUGCCAAGGAAAGAUGUAGAUUUGAGGCAAGUUGAUGGCCUAAAGCAGGGUUAAUGUAUCGGUAACUGUGUAUCAUCGGAGACUUUACCAACCAAUUCCAUUACUAUCCUCCAGCCAUCAAUAUUAAACCUUUUGAGAUUGGAAAUCCGAAAUAGUUUUGAUUCCUUGGCAGUAUUCAUUAGAAUAUCACCUAUUAGAAUUCUUGCGAAGUCUACUUUUGUCAAGACUCUAGAAAUGUCUCAUGUGACGAUAGUGCUAAACUGGUAGCACUCGACGGAAGAACAUCUUGGGAAAAUCACUUUUGGUCUCUAAUAGCUCUAAUACUUUUGUGAUGUUACUUUUCGAUCAUCAAGAAACCUUGUUAGCUCAUUCUGAAAUUUGACCUUUCUACUUUUGGCCUGAGACAACCAUAGAAUUGUUUAGUCUUUCGGCAUAAUUCAUCAUUUUUGAAAUUGUCCAACUCUUUGAUAUUUUAGUUCGCAUCAGCUCUGGUCAUACCCUCAGUUUCACCUGGUAUUAAAGGUAUUUUAGUUGAUUUUGAGUCAUUCGUCUGUUCCCCAUAUCAUUUUUAUGUUGAUAGAUUGUCCAAGAAUACCACUUAGACGUCAAAACUUUUAAUUUAGACCAUCAGUCCUUAAAUCACCUAAUCAGCAUUCUAUCGAGCAAAUCGUUACCAUCAGUGAUUUAUUAUUCCUGAAGCUAUUGUGGUAACAAACUAUUGUGAAUUUUGAGUCAAGGAAAAAUCUAAGUUUCCGCUCGUCAACCCUCCUUAAACUAUUGUUCAAGUUGAGUUAUUUCCCAACCCUUUCGUUGCUAGCACAUGAUUAAGUUAAAUAUUUACACGUGUUCAGAUAUCGAAAUUGUAUAUUCAAUCUGGAUAUCUUGUACUCUAGAAUUCAUGAACUUGUUUUGACUCUUAAAUUCUUGAGUGUUCUUUUAGCCUUCUUGACAUGGUUUCUAGCACAAUCAGUGAGAAAUUCAUGUUAGGUCGACUCGACGGAUGCGUGCACCAGUUUCAUAUCGAUGUUAGUAGGAACCAUUGGAGUAUAAUCUUCUUGCGGGUUUACCAGACUUACCAAAAAUAAUUCCAAACAACUUUGAGGAUUGAGUAGUAGUUUAGCAUGGAAUUAGUGAAGUUAUGACUGUAAGUUUUGAGUUUGGCGAUUAUGGCGUUAAUUUCUAUGUAUGGCUCGUAAUUGCAACUGUCAUUUGAAGAAUGUGAUUAGAGAUAUAGUUUCUCUAGUUCAAGUUUUCAGAUCUUAUACCAUCAAUUUGGAAAGCGAUCAUCGCGGUUAGUCUCGAAAUAAAUGUUUUACGAUAAGAGUUCGUCCAGGUGCAUUUUCAUUACUUUACUUUAGGAUUUGAUAGUUUGGGCUUACAUGAACAUUGAAACACUUCUAGCAACUGGAUUAGUGGACUCUGGAUAGUAUAGCAUCACGAUCGAGGCAUGAAUUGGACAAUCUAAGUAUAUUCGCAUAUGAGGAGCAAGACGAUAUUUUGGCAUUCUCGGGAACUUCUCACUAGCUUAUUGAAACAACAAUUAAUUAUCGGCAUUGCAUGCUGCAGACUGUAAUAUCAGUGGUUUAAUUGUUGGGUUCCCUAAGCAAGUGAAAAAGUCAGCUCAUCUACAACAACAGUUAUUAGUUAGCAAAAGUUUGGACUCAACUCGUUACACACGCUCAUAUUCGAAAUUCAUGACACGACGAAUUUUUGGCGAGGUCCAUUUUCAUUUUGGGUUUUGAUUUUUCGUACAAAUAUUUUUUUUACUACAUUAUUUUAUAUGGGUAUUAUGCUACUAUAUUAUCAAGGAAGGAAGAAGGUAUGAACUUGGAGGCAUGAAAGAGGAAUAAUUGCAAUCCGAUCGCGACGGAAUGACAUUCUCUUUUCUGCAACCGCUCUAACUUGAUUUCUUCCUUAUGUAUGUAUUUACAUACAUAUUUUCUCCCUAUUUUCGAGUAUCUUACAUUUAGCAAGUCAUUUUAAAUUUCAAGGAUGAAAUUUUCUUAAGGGGGUAGAUUGUAACAGCCCGUCCCAAAAAAUUAUGAUUUUUAUAAUUUUAAUAAGUGAGUUUACGAAAAUGCCCUUCGAGGCAAAGCGUUUAUUUUUUGUUGACCGUCUUGUCAUGUCAUGUAAGGUUUGUUUUCUUAGCGUAUCCUUGUAGUACUCGUCGUUACGGAAGGUGGGCAUAAACGGAACGCAAUUUAGAGUUAUAAUGAAUGAGUUAUUAAAGUUUAAAGUUGGGGGCAUUUUAGUAAAUUGGUUAAUAUCUAGAAAAUUCCAGAUUUUUUGAGCAAAAUCUGGGAUGCCACGUGUGUGGCCUAGAUUAAAAGGGGUCGGUGCAGAUGGAGUAUAAAGGAUAGAAAAGAGGGAGAGGUGAGACAAAUCAGAAGAAGAGUGAGGUGAGGAGAGCCAAUAGGAAGCAGAAGAAAGGAGGGGAAGAGAGAGAAACAAAAAGCACAGAAUCAACCUUGACCGUGCGACCCGCGAACCUGGUUGCGACCCGUAGGUUUCUCCGGUGAAAUUCAUCAUUUUUCCGAUGGAUUGGGCCAAUCUACCACUCCCAAUCUUCAUAUUGACCAUUCCUCUACCAUUUCUACAUCAAAUUUGAGGAGAUUAGGUUCAUAAUUGGGAAGAAAUAAUAUUGUGGGUGCCGUGAGACCGUGGUCGAGAUCCACCAAAUCUGAACUGUUUUCUUCCCAUUGCCAUCACCAUUGGACUCCCAUUAAGGCCUGGAACAAAGCCCAAGCAUUGGUUGGGGCAUCAGAGUUGUUUUGGAGUCGAAUCAAGAACACACCAAACCUAGGGUUCCCACGGGUUUUCAUGAAAUUGAGGCUUUUUCCGGCCAAAUUGGCCUUAGUCACAGGUAAGAAAGUUGCUCCACUCACUGAGAUCUUCAUUUCUGUAAUUUUUGAGAAUUUUUAAAAAUAGUUGAGUUUCCGGCAAGUCAGGGUGACCAACCUCCACCUGCAACGGCGCAUGGGCCGAGAUGUGCCCUGACCUUCCUAGGAUACAUUUGAAUACCUUGAUUCCAUUUGUGAAGUUUGAUUGAUGAAUUUCCGUUGUUUGAGCGUAGUUCCAUUAAGGUCCGCCGCUUGAUCAUUAUAGCAAUCGACGAUCCAACCGUUGGAUCGUCACCAAACUUUGAUACGUUAUAGUACAUAAUAUUUGAGGAUAUUAGAAACUUAUAGAUCGGGAAUCCGAUGUACGGAUCUUCCCGAAUAGGAUAUAUAAGUUACAUGUUCUAUUGAUAAGAAUUCUAAGACAUGAUUUGAUAAAUGUUCUAGGCGCCGAUCGUUCAUGACGCAUUGAUGUUUGUGCUAGGGAGUUGUAGCGUGGACUCUAGGUGAGUGGGCUUUUGCUUUUCUAUAUAUACGUAUAUAUGCUUUACAUUUUCCCAAAAAAUUGUUUUGAAACGAGUGUAUUCUUUUAAAUAUCAUGUCAUGCUUGCAUUUCAUUCUAUUAUAUGCAUUGGUAUGUAUAUGCAUACUAUUGUAUGAUGCUGCGAAGGCCAGGUAAGUUCAAGUUAAAACUGUAUGAUGUUAGAAGUUGCAUUGGUUAUGGUUAUACGUAGAGACAUGUAGAGCUCCUUAUCCUGCACCCUGGUGUUAGUGCUCCUGCCCGUGGCCAGAGCACAAUCCUUCACGUGAAGUUCACCUCCCGCACCGCACGCUUACCUUCGAUCAAGUUUGGUGCACAACCCUGUUGUAUAGACCACAUUAGGUGGUUCCAACUCGUAAGUGACCCGCGAUUAUUCGCACAGCCUUCACGUGAUCGUAGUACUUGAGCGUACUUAUUUACACCCAGCCUUGUCGUACAUACCAUAAUAUAGGUGGUCCCAACUCGUAUGCAGGCAUAUUUAAUGAGCUAUAGGUUCAGCUGUACAUGUCACGUUAGGUGACUCCGGCUGACAUAUCAUUUUACAUUGAUUUAUUUCACUUGGCUUACUUAUUUCAUUGCUGAGAUACUUGACAUGGCAUAUACUUGGUUUUCACUAUUCUCGAGCAUGAUUUCUAUAUACGUAUGUAUUAUUAUUUUCAGGGAAAUUAUACGGGUUUUACGGUGAUGGGUUAUAACGUUUUCGAAAGGUUUUUAUUAAAAACUUUAUUUUCAGGCCCACUCACCCUUGUUUUGCGCCCUCCAGGUUUUAGCUGCUGAAUGUUCGUAUCAACGAUGAUUCGUGGUGUGAAAUGGGUUCAUUCCCGCUGACAGCGCACUCUUGUCUUUAAGGUACUUUUAGGUUUAAAUUUAUUCACAUUUUCCACACCACUAUACUUUAUGGUUUCGUCACUUUCCAGGUGUCGGCCAACACAACUCGAUUUGGAGUCCUAAUGGACAUUCCGGGUCGGAGGUGUGUCACCAUAACAAUGUACUAGUCCAAAAAUAAAUUAUAAUUUUCUAUGUUUUCAAAUAAGAUGUUUGAAAGGGGCUUAAAAGAAAAACUAGUAAUUUUCUAUCUUUAAUCUUAAACAAAAUGACAUCACUAAUUUUGAUGGUAAUUUUUAAAUUUUUAGUUGUGCUAAAUACUUAUUGUGCUAGUUUCAUUAAAAAUUAAUUCUUUUACACUUUUUCUAUCUAUUAUAUUAGGCUAUACAUAAAAUAUAUACAUAUUACCACAAAUUCCACCUACACUACAGCCCAUCAUAACCUUUGGUGUGGCUCCGCUAGUCGAGGCAGACAAAUCGACCUUGACUAUCAAAGUUGAUUUUUAGGGGGGUGGAUUUGGGAAUUUUCCUUUGCCAAGAGCCAUUUCUAUAAAAAAAUUAAGGGUAAAAAAAGAAAAAAAAAAGAGAAACAAAAACAAUGUUAAAGUUUUUUUUUUUAUUGCAUCAAAGCUCGAAUUCUAUAAAAAAUCAAGGGUAAAAAAUGAAAAGAAAGAAAAAAGAGAAACGAAAACUGUUAAAGUUUUUUUUAUUGCAUUUAGAGAUAUCAAAACUCGAAUUCUAAUCCUAGCUCGUUAUUCAAUUUAUCAUUCGAGUAGGUAACACGUAUCAUAUUAAUGAUGAAUCGUUCAUUUAUUUGAUACAUUUGGAUGAUUAAACAAUGUUCGAUUCAAAUAAUUUUUCGUAAAAAUGAUCUCUGAAUAAAGUAAAAUUUUGAAAAGUUCCGAUUAUGAAAUUUCUAAAGUAAAUAUAUGUUAUUUGCAAGAAAUGAGUUCAUUCCUAACUGAAGAAUACAAGUUUGUUCCUUUUAACCUAAUCUCAGCCAAUCAAUUACAAACAAUUAUAUAUCAUAUAGUAAUAAUAGAGAGAGAUAAUUAAGAAUACUUUGUUUGUGUCUGCCGGUGUGACGUUUUUUUGGUGAAGAUUUGCCUGGGCAAUGGUUUUUCUGGACCAAAUUAAGCAAGAGUUUCGUAAUAUAUGCAUGUUUUCCAAUAAUGGCAUUCAUGUGGUUUACUACAAACUCAAGAGGCUUAUUCAUGGCGGCCAGCAGUAUAUAAACCGCUGCUCACUCCCUGCGAUAUCAACACAAAUUCCUUCCAAACCUUUUAUCUGUCACGCACAAAGAACCCGAGAGCCAUGAUGAAUAACAAACUCACAGUGCUGCUGGUUCUGCUAUGUGCAGCUAAUUUCCACGCCACCUUAUCAUUUGUCACAGAUGGUAAUCUCUUCUCUGCUAUUUAUGCUGUUUUUAUCUCCUUCUAUGAAAGUUCUAGGAUGGGUACUAGUUUAACCUAGAGGGGGUGAAUAGGUUCCAAUUUAAAAAUCAAAUUCAAUUUUCAAUUUAAUUUUCAGUUUUCAAAUUAAAUCCAUAUUCACAUCACAUAUAAACUAUCCUACACAUAUGCAAUUAUAAAGAUAAAUAAAAUGUGCACACAUGAUGUAGGAUUUAACGAGGCAAAACCCAUCACUGGGAAAAUCCUCGGGCUCCCAAGCCAGGACAAACACUAAGAGAAAUAAGUACAGAAUGACUUACAAAACUCAUCAACUAGACACACAUACUAGUAGGCAGUUUUGUCUCCGCGCUUUGCUACUCGAUCUCUCCUCAGCCUUCGAGUGGAAGUGGCACGACACUAACGCGGCCAUCAAUCACUGUCUCCUCGAACUUUGCAAGAUACUAACUCAAUCAUGCAGAAUGUAUGUAUGAUGGAAUGAUUUUUGAAAAUCAACCAAUUACGAAAAUCACAAGGCACAUUUUCAUAAUUGAUUUCGCUUAAAGCCCGAAUAAAAAUAGUGAAGAAAAACUGAAUUUUGUCUUUUAAAAUCACACGGCUGAAACUGUUUUUCUCACCCUAGCACGCUGAAGUAAAGAUUAAAUUGUAAUGCCUUUUGUGUGUAUUAGACUAGCUAUGCGACAAGAACCAAAUAUACAAUCAUAUAUGCUCACACAACAUGAAGUGACUACACCAUCUAUGAAACAUUCACAACAGCGUCCAUGCUAUUUUUCUCACUGAACUCUUCUCGGUGCAUGUGUAAUUUAAAGCAUGUGUAUCUUACUAAAACCUCACUCAUGCAUAAGCGGCAGUCAAAACAACCCCUGAUCUAAUGCAUGCUGCAACAACCAAAACAAGAAUUAUGAUAUGAUAUGAUAUGAUGAUCACUUCUAAAACUCUAAUGCAUGCUCUCCAAAUAAAUGGCUGCUUUCAAUGCAUAUAUAUGUUGUAAUACGGCAACCGCCAGAAACCUUAACCUAAUGCAUCUAUAAAUAGACUGCAGUAGAAGACUUUAACUUGAUUUCAAAUUCCUUAAGAUUGGAAUGGCAUGUUACGAGAUAAAAAAUUAAAACCAAUAGGAAUUAUCCAUAUGCUCACUAUGCUCAAAUACCUAACAAUAUUAAUAUGUAGCCUUUCAAGUUCAUACUUUCUUACAGCUCCUAGGUAGGAGGUUGUCAUAAAUAUUGAAGUCUUGUUUUUAAGUGAUUUCCAUCUGCUUCUAGUUUAGUCCCUAUGCAAUAAGAGAGAUUUUUAGUAUGCUAGAACAUAAGUUGGUACAUUACAUAUUGUCAUAUAGCUGAAAAAAUUAUUGAUCAACUCCCACAUCACAUAUGUGGUUGCCACCUUUGAUCAAUUGUUGAACAUUAACCAUAUCAUUAUCAUGUGACUACCAAAUAUUUUUUUAGUGGUGUCACAUGUGCACUAGUCAUAUGUGCCUCAUCGUUUGCAUAACAUUUCAUUUGCAGAUAACCUUUCAUAUGUACAAGGAAUUUGCAUGCAAUUCAAUUGAUUUAAAACAUUUAAUCUUGUGAUCAAUGUCUUAUGUUUGAGUUCUUUUUACUAGUACAUACUAAAUUUAUAAAAUUACUAAAGUUAUUGUCCGUGAACGACUAAUCUAAAUAUAUAUGUACGAAAUUUGAUUUAAUGGCAAUAGAUUUAUUAUAGGCGAUGACAUUGGUGUUAACCAAGCUGUGAUUACAGGAAGAAGUUCACAGUAUUGUUCAAGAAGAAGAAGAAGAAGAAGAGAGAGAGAGAGAGAGAGAGAGAGAGAGAAUUUUCUUUAACUGAUAUUUUUCUAUAUGUAAUACAAUCUUAGAGAAUAUUCUUUAACUGAUAUUUUUCUAUAUGUAAUACAAUCUUACAGCCUCAAGGUUAUAUACUACCUUGUACAAAUCUUACUGCCUAAGUCACAAUGUAACUAACUCUGACUACCUUCUAACAACAUUAUCUAUCUUUUGACAAGUGUCAUCUUUUACUACCAUUGGAUUACCACCUUAACAUCCCCCCCCCCCUCAAGCUCAGGAGUGGUGAAACCAAGACUGAGAUUGUGAUAGUGAAUUUGAAAAAGUGGAGUAGAUAAACCCUUGGUCAAGAUAUCUGCAUAUUGCUCAAUGGAUGAUACAAAUUGAACUUGCAGCUGCUUCUUGACAACUUUUUCGCAAACAAAGUGAAUAUCAACUUCAAUGUGUUUUGUUCGUUGGUGUAGAACUGGAUUAAGAGUUAGAGCAAUGGCUGACAUGUUAUCACAAAACAACAUUGGGGUAGUAGGAAUAUUAAUAUGCAAGAAAUUCAAUAGUUGUUUGAUCCAAUCCAAUUCAGCAGUAGUUGCAGCAAGAUCUCUAUAUUCUACCUCGAUGGAGGAUCGUGACACUAUUUUUUGCUUCUCAAAUGACCAAGAAAUGGGGUUGGAUCCCAAGAACACAACAAAUCCAGUAGUAGAGCGCCUAUCAUCAGGGUCUCCAGCCUAAUCUGCAUCAGAAAAUGCCCUUACAGUAUCUGAAUGAACUUCCAAACCUUCUCGAAUAUAGCUAAUCCCCAAGUUCAUAGUUCCCUUAAGGUAUAUGAGAAUCUUUUUUACUGCACUGAAGUAAGACUCCAUGAGAUUCUGCAUGAAUUGACAAACUUGGCGCACUGCAAAUGCUAUAUCUGGCCAAGUGAAUGUUAGGUACUGUAAAACACCAACCACACUUCUGUAAACAGCUGGAUUGUUAUACGUCUUUCCAUCAUCAAGAACUAACGUAUUAUAAGGUAAACACGGUGUUGCACAAGCCUUGGAGUCUAACAUUUCAGUCUUUGUAAGUAGGUCCCUAACAUACUUUGCCUGAGAAAGAAAUAGACCAUCAGUUUGAAAAAUAACCUGAAUUCCUAGAAAGAAAUGAAGAGGUCUCAAAUCUUUGAUAUCAAACUCUCUUGUCAAGGCAGAUAUCACAUCAUCAAUCAUUGUUGGAGCAUUAUCUACAUAAAGAAGCAAUAUCACAACAGAUGAACCACUCUUAUUCACAAAUAAAGAUAAAUCGACAUAAGUUGUAUUAAAUCCAAGUGAAGGUAGAAAGCUUGUGAACUUAUCAUUCCAGGCUCUAGAGGCUUGUUUUAAGCCAUAUAAAGACUUAUGAAGCUUGCAGACAUACUUAGGAUGUUGAGAAUCAAUGAAGCCCAGAGGUUGAGCCAUAUACACAUCUUCCUGCAAUAUAACAUGUAAAAAGGCAUUUUUUACAUCAAGUUGUCUCAAAUUCCAACCAAAUUGAGUUGCCAUUGCCAACACAAGUCUCACAAUUGUUGGUUUAACAACUGGACUAAAAGUCGCUCCAUAGUCUAUGCUUUACUCUUGGUUAAACCCCUUUGCGACCAAUUGAGCCUUAUACCUCCCUAUAGAACCAUCGACAUUCUUCUUAAUUUUGGAAACCUAUUUGUAACCAACAAGAUUUUUCUGUGCUGGAAGAGGAACUAAACUCCAUGUAGAUUGAGUAUUGAGUGGAUCUAAUUCUUCUUUCAUUGCAUCAACCCAUACUUUACACUUUAAUGUUGAUUUGUAUGUUGCAGGUUCAACAGCAGCCAAUUCCAUUCAUCCAUGCUCAUGAAUUGUAGUAAGUAAUGCCUUAUUUUUGAAAAUGCCACUCUUUGAUCUAGUUUGCAUCAGAUGCAAAUUUAAUGGAUGAAUUGAGAGAACUACUUAAAGAUUCUCAUAUUGGACCUCAGGAACAACAAGGAGUUGAGGAGUUGAAACAUGUGCUCUUGCAUUAAUGGAUUGUAUUGAAGGUGAUGAAGUAGUGUUUAUGGAUAAUAGGGAUGAUGGUAAUGAUAAUGAUAAGUCAGUAUUAGAAGAAGGGACAUUUUGUGAAGCUAGAGAUCUUGGUGAAACUAACACAUUAUCAAGGGUAGUGAUUGGUGAUUGAAAAACUGGUUUUGGCACAUAUGAUGUAUAAAGGCUAGAUAAUUGUUUUGAGACUAAAACUGAAUAGGGGAAUUCAGAUUCAUCAAACAAAACAUGUCAAGAAAUAUAGAUUUUCUUCUUAGUGACAUCAUAACAUAAGUACCCCUUGUACUUUGAUGCAUACCCCAAAAAAGACACUUUGUUGUUCGAGGUUGCAACUUAGUGGUAUUAAAAGGUCUUAACAGUGGGUAACAAGAACAACCAAAGACUUUUAGAUGGCUAAUAUCAGGGAGAGAAUUGUAAAGUAUCUCAAAUGGUGACUUCUGGUUCAAUCUUUGUGAUGACAUUCGAUUAAUAAGAUACACUGAUGUUUGACAAGCAAAUGACCAAAAUGGUGCAGAUAAAUGAGAUGUUUGGAAGAGAGUGAUUGUGGUUUCAAUAAUAUGUCGAUGUUUCUGUUCAGCCAACCCAUUUUGCUCUGAGGUAUAUGGAUAAGAUAGUUGGUGACUAAUACCCUUAGUAGCAAGGAAGGUUUGUAAUUGUUUCCCUACAAAUUCUCCCCUCCAUCACUUUGAAGUGUUUUUAUGGAAACUGAGAAAUGAUUAAGAAUAAAUUGAUAGAAUGUAGCAAAUGUAGAACAAACAUCAGCUUUAUUGACAAGUGGAAAAAUCCAACAAAAUCGAGUACAUUGAUUUAUGAAAGUAACAUAGUACUUAAAGCCAUCUAUAGAGAGACAUGGAGCUGGACCCCAUACAUCACUGUGAACAAUAUCAAAAGGGUUAACAAGUUUACAUGUGGUUGAGGUAAAGGGUAACUUGCUAAUUUUUCCCUCAAUACAAUUGGAACACAGUGUAAGUGUAGAAUCAGCAACACUAGUUAUUGAUGCAAAAAAUCGGAGGUCUUGGAACAACGUAAAUUCGACCGUGAAUCUGCAUGAAAUGUAAAUAACACAAGAUAUACGUGGUUCACCCCAAGGUUUGGGCUACGUCCACACUGAUAUGUAUUUAUCUGAGGGAGAGAGAACUCUGAGAGUGAGAGCCUUGAGAAGGGGUGAGGAGCCUUAGGCAUUAGCCUCCCCUAAUUGUGAGGGUGAUGGGUCUUUUUAUAGAAUAAGGACUCCUCACUUGUUACAUAUUUGCCCAUUCCUUUAUCACAUACUUACAUUUAAGUCCCUCGAGUAUUUGUACGAGAUCUAAAUGCGAGGCCCUAAAUAUGGUAUAAACAGUAGUCCCCCAAGUCUUCAGUCAGGAGAGUCUUUUGGCUGGAGACUUGAAAUUCAGUCCAUGUAUGGGCCGAAGUAACUAGAUGCUGUCUUAAACUGAUGCUUGAUAUGAGGCAGUGCUCAAUAUGAAAUGACGCUCAAUUAGAAGUAGCACACGUUGUUCGGCUGCUCGGCUCGUUGCUUAUGUUGCCUUGGUUGGCUCGGCUUGCGGCGUUUGAAGGUGAGGGAGUCCCUUUUUAUAGAAUAAGGGCUCGCUCCUCAAUACAUGAAUGAUGGGCUAGAGUUGAUGCUUUCUAAUAAUGGUGAGGGAGUCCCUUUUAUAAAAUAAGGGCUCGUUCCUCAAUACAUAAAUGAUGGGCUAAAGUUGAUGCUCGAGGCGAGGCGGUAGCUCAGUAGGCGGCGAUGCUCUCUAAUGGUGGUGAGGGAGUCUCUUUUAUAGAAUAAGGGCUCGUUCCUCAAUACAUAAGUGAUGGGUUAGGAGUGAUGCUCGUGGUGAGGCGGUUGCUCAGCUGGCGGCGUUGCUCUCUAAUGAUGGUGAGGGAGUCCCUUUUAUAGAAUAAGGGCUCACUCCUCAAUACAUAAGUGAUGGGCUAAGUCCCCCAAGUAUUUUUCAUGAGUGCUCUCUAAUGAAAGUGAGGGAGUCUCUUUUAUAAAAUAAGGGCUCGCUCCUUAAUACAUAAAUAAUGGGCUAAGUCCCCUAAUUAUUUUUCAUGAGGCCUAGUUGAGGCCCAAUAUAUGGUAUAUAAUGUAGUCCCUCAAGUCUUCGGUCAAUAAAGUAUGUUGGCUGAAGACUUCAAAGUGAAUCCAUGUAUGGGCCGAAAUGGCGGUUGUUCAGAGGCGAUAUUUGUUUACCCUGCACUGAAGCUUUGUAGGUGAAGCUUUGCAAGUGAAGCUUUGAAGCUAGAGCUUUGUAAAUGAAGCUUUUGAAGCUAGAGCUUUUGUAAAUGAAGCUUUUGAAGCUAGAGCUUUUGUAAAUGAAGCUUUUAGAGCUAGAGCUCUGUAAAUGAAGCUUUUGAAGCUAGAGCUUUUGUAAAUGAAGCUUUUAAAGCUGACUGACAUGAGUGAUGCUCAUGAAUGUUUGAUUGACAUGAGUGAUGCUCAUAGAUGUUGACAUGAGUGAUGCUCAUGAAUGUUGACAUGAGUGACGUUCAUGAAUGUUUAUGUAUGAUUGAUAUGAGUGAUGUUCAUGAAUGUUUAUGUAUGAUUGACAUGAGUAAUGCUCAUGUAUAAUAUGAAGUACUAGGCGUACUUUUGAUCACCUGGUUGGUGGUAAUAGCGGCAGGUUGCCGAAUAAUUUUGGAGUACUGGGCGUACUUUUGAUCACCUGGUUGGUGGUAAUAGCGGCAGGUUGCUGAAUAAUUGUGGAGUACUGGGUGCACUUUUGAUCACCUGGUUAGAGCUAUUUUGGGCUCAUGGGCCUUCGCCCUCCAUACAACAUUCCAGCCCAUUUAUUUUGGGCUUUGCCAUUUUUUUUUCUUUUUUUACCCUCUGAUGGGGUUUAUAUAGAUAUCUCCGAAAUAUACGAAAAAUAAAUUACAUCAUUCAAAAAUAAAUCCGACUCUCUGCUCAAUGGGUCACGCCCAUAAAUCUUUUUUCUACAUGCCAUCACCACCGCAAUUAUGUCUGCUUCUUUUUAUCUUCUUUUGCUUUCUGCUUUUGCUUUUGCUUUUGCUUUCUCUUUUCCCUUUCCUGCAUGUUCUCCUGUAAAACGUGACAGCUGCCUCGACAGCCUUGACACCAUCCACCUGCUUUUCUUGCUUUUCUCUAAAGAAAGGGAAUAUGCAUAAUGAAAGUGUGGGUAUCUUCUGGUCGACAAAAACCAUCCAUGUGGAUGGUCGAUUAAAUCCUUCAGACUCAUCAUUGCUCUAGUCCACUCAUCUUUGACCACCAUCUCUGAAAGUACAAACCCAUAUUCCCUGAGGUGUAGACCGGAUAUAUGAUUCCAAGCGGUGGGAUUGCUACUAGGAUUGCUAGGAUUUUGUUUUCAACAAUGCCUUCAGCACCCUAACAGCGUCUUUCUCGCUCAUGUGCUCUUCCUUGUACGGGCCGACCCCGUAGUUCCAACAAUGCUCCCUAUACCCAAUCCGUACAUUUAUUGAUGAAUGCAGGUGUUGUUCACAGUAUAGCCGUUUCAUUUCUCGAAGUCUCGAGAAUUCGCCGUCAUAAAUCCGUGCCCACUUCUCUCUCUGCCAUUCUCAACUGCACAGAGCUAGAACCUCAACUCAUAGUCGCCAUCAUUAGAGGUCGCACCUCCUUUUUUGCAAAUGGCGAUCGCAACCAUGGGAGUGAGAACACCAGAUCAUCACGAUCCGCAACAACCCCCAAACUUGGAUUAAAAACCCUCAUCCAGGAAUUUGUGACUCCGAUUCGAUCUGAUCAAUGUUGAAGCCUUUCCCCAUAAUCUGGCUGAGGUCCACCACGUUCCCUCUCUUGAGCCUGCAUAGAAGCUCUACCGUGGACUCUGCCGUGGCCAUUGGAGGAGGAUCUGGCUUGUGGGAUUUUUGAGGAUUCUGACUACAAAAAUACUGCUGAGCUUGGGGGAUGUUAUGGCAGGAGAGAUUGAUAUCUUUUGGGUGGGAAAUGUAAAUAAAAUUGAGGAAGAGAAGGCCUUCAUAUCUAGUAUCUUUUAUCUUCACAACAAAACCAAACAGUUGGAUUUUUUCUGAGAAAUGGUAGAUCUGUAGGUCGGAAUAAAUAAAGGGUGUUAGGAGCUUGGGAUGGUGGAAGCAGUAGCUAGUCGAUUAAGUUUUGCAGAUUCACGGCGGAGGUGAAAAAAAUGAAAGAGAACCGACACAACUUUUCGUAUCGUUUCCCAUAGACAGCGCCAAAUGUUGAUGCACAAAAUCGAAGGUCUUGGAACAAUGUAAAUCCGAUCGUGAAUCUGCAUGAAAUGUAAAUAACACAAGAUGUACGUGGUUCACCCCAAGGUUUGGGCUACGUCCACACUGAUAUGUAUUUAUCUAAGGGAGAGAGAGCUUUGAGAAUGAGAGCUUUAAGAGGGGGUGAGGAGCCUUAGGCAUUGGCCUCUCCUAAUUGUGAGGGUGAGGGGUCCUUUUAUAGAAUAAGGACUCCUCACGUAUUACAUAUUUGCCCAUUCCUUUAUCACAUACUUACAUUUAAGUCCCUCGAGUAUUUGUACGAGAUCUAAAUGCGAGGCCCUAAAUAUGGUAUAAACACUAGUGAUAUUGGACUUCUUAAGUAUAAGAGAAACAACAUUAUUUGAAGGAUGACCUAAUCUAUGGCGCCAUAGACUAGAAAUUACUUGUUUUCCAAGAUAUACAGCAACUAAGAAAGCCUUUGUGGUAUGAAAGGGUGGUUUGAUGGGAAUGGGAUACAAUCCAUUAUUGCAGAGGCCUUUGAACAAUAUUUUCCAUGUGGCUUUGUCCUAAAUCCAAAAACACCAAGCAUCAAAGAUUAGCCAACAAUUAUUGUCAAGGCAAAUUUUAUGCACAAAGAGUAAAUUCUGAGAUAUCUUAGGUAGAUUGAGAACUGAAUUCAAUUUUAGAUUAUGGAAUGAAGUAUGCACUAUGGAAAAUCCUCCAUAAGACACUUGCAAACCUUCACCACUUGCAGUUUAAAUCAUUUAUGAUGAUGGGAAAGGAGUUGCCAAUGACAGAUUAUUCAAGUCUGCAGUCAUGUGAUUUGUUACACCUGAGUCUGUGAGCCAUACUUGCUGAGAUAGCUAUACUGGCGACGAUUCCAUGUUAACUAAGCUGUGAUUACAGGAAGAAGUUCACAGUAUUGUUCAAAGAAGAAGAAGAAAGAGAGAGAGAGAGAGAGAGAGAGAGAGAGAGAGAGAGAGAGAGAGAUUUAAAGAGAGAGAGAGAGAGAAUAUUCUUCAACUGAUAUUUUUCUAUAUGUAAUACAAUCUUACAGCCUCAAGGUUAUAUACUACCUUGUACAAAUCUUACUGCCUAAGUCACAAUGUAACUAACUCUAACUACCUUCUAACAACCUUCUCUAUCUUUUGACAAGUGUCAUCUUUUACUACCAUUGGAUUACUACCCUUAACAAUUGGCACAUCACCCAUGUUCACAUAUCACCAUUAAUUUUUUAUUUAUUGGGAAGCUAGAAAACAAGCAACAAUUAUAUGAUUAACCUUAUCACAGUAACAAUAUUUGUCAUUUAACUCAAGUUAGAAAGAUUUAUAUAAGCCAUACUAUAUAGCUCAGAGUCUAUUCUCAUCACAUCACAUGAUCUUUCAACAUAUAACAUGUGAUCCUCCCGUGGCAUCAAUAAUAUGAUUUAAUAUUAUUUAGUAACAAAGGCAAAUACAAUCUUUCAUGCUAUUAAAACUUAUUAACUUUAGCUUUCGGUGUUCUUUUCUUUUCAUAUUAUUUCAUAAAAUAUGUACUUUUCUGAUAAUUACUUGAUAUAACGUACUAUUACUGCAAAGUCGUUUAAUUUUGUUAAGAGUUUUUGCCUUUAUAUUAUGUGGUAUAUGGGAACAAAUCAAAUAUUGUCAGUUAGCGGUCACAUUUUGUUUGAGUGAAUGAACGCAUAUGUUAGUGACAAAGAAAAAUUAGUAUCCAGUCCCUAGUUAUUAUUGUUCAUUGACUGAUAUCUUAUUAAUUUUCAAAUUUUAAUUGAAGUCCAUAAUUUUUUAAAAUAUAAAUUUGUAAUUGAUUUCGGGUUUUAAUACUCACAACUCUAUUAAACUCCUAAUUAAUUUCAAUUCAAACAUUUCCAAAAUAAAAAUAAAUAAAUUAGAAUAAGUUUGUACCCAUUAGUUUUUUUUUUUUUAUAAAAAGAUUCUCAAUUUUUUAACCUUAAAUGUACCCAUUCAUAUAAUUUUCAAUUUUUUUUAAUCUUAAAUGUACCAAUUUGUUGUAAAAUGUACCAUUUUUUAAUAUAAAAUGAACCCAAUUUUUCAAUAUAAAAUCCAUUCAAAAUUUUUUAAUCCAUUUUAAACUUAUAUGGGUACAUUCUUUUUCGUAGAUUUUUUAGAAUAUAUCCAUGUCAAAUUUAAUCGAAAAAAUUACUAAGCCUAAUAUUUUUUUUUCCAGGUUGUUUUGAAGAAUGUACCCAUGUUUUGUUUUGGUACAAUAAAUUUUUUUUUGUUAAUUUUGAUGAAUGUACCUAUAUAUAUAUAUACACACACAAUAUAAUAGAGAGUAUACUUUAUAUUUUAUUAUUUUUAACCCCACAAAUUAUGGGUUUUAUUUAAAAUCUCAUUAAUAUAAACAAACACAAAUUUCAAUUUUUGAUUUUUAAUUUAAAAACUAUAAUAACUUACAUUAUUACAUUAAUAUCAGGGGCUUUGAUAAAAAAACUAAAAACAUACAAGGUUUCAAUCAAAUAAUAUUGAUAGUUAGGGACCGUAUCCAAAGUGUCCCUAUUGAUAAUAACCCUAUUCAUUUCUCAGGCUUAUUACCCAACGGCAACUUCGAGUACGAUCCAAAGCAAUCAGAACUCAAAGGCACAGUAGUGACGAAGCCUCAUGCAAUUCCCUACUGGGAAAUUUCAGGCUUGGACGAGUACAUAAAAUCAGGUCAAAAACAAGGUGACAUGCUGCUUGUCGUCCCUGAGGGCGGCUUCGCUGUGAAGCUCGGCAACCAGGCCUUGAUCAAGCAGAGGUUGAAGGUCACGAAAGGCGGCUUUUACCCCACCACGUUCAGCGUCGCUCGGACGUGCGGGCAGGAGGGGAAGCUGAACGUGUCCAUCAAUCCCAACCUUGAAGAAAGAGACUGGGGAAUAAUGCCAAUCCAGACAGUAUAUAGCAGCAAUGGAUGGGAUUCGUAUGCAUGGGAUUUUAAUGCAGAUUUUGAUGACACUGAGCUGGUGUUCCACAACCCUCGGGUGGAGGAAGAUCCUGCUUGUGGCCCACUUAUUGAUUCUGUUGCUUUGAAGCUCUUGGAUCCUCCUACACGUACAAGAGGUAAAAAGUUGAGGGUUUUUUUUUUUUUCCUUUUUUUUUCUUUUUCUUUUGGUAAUUGAUGAGUUGAUUUUUUACAUUAAAAAACCAUACAUUUUUAGCCAACCAAUAAAACACAUUUCAAAUUAAUUAAUUUGCCAUAAAACCCAAAUUUUCUUUUUCCUACUCUCUUAUAUGACAUGAGUGAAUUUCACAUGGGUACUUCACCUCAGAAAAUUGUUAAUAUGAAUCAUUCAUAGCGUCAAAUAUAUCGUCCAAGUGAUAAUUUAGUAACAUAACUUAUCAGAACUAAAUUAUUAUUUUUAAAAAUCAUAUCCAAAUUAAUUUAAGAAAAAUUUCAUUGCCACUAUAUUAUACAUUUUUUAUAAAGCUACAUUAAUACAUGCAUUAUCGAUUAUCUUCAUUUCGAGAUAGACUUGUAACCCAAGUAAAAUGUACGUGAAUGUGAUAUGACACAUAACAACGAUAUGACCUAUACAUAUAUAUUACAAACAUUUAAUGUUGUCAUUUUUUAUACCAGAAAAAGUUACUUAUCAUUUUUAUUAUUUUUCUAGCCAACUUGUUGAAAAAUGGAAACUUUGAAGAAGGGCCCUAUGUGUUGCCCAACACAUCAUCGGGAGUCCUCAUCCCACUCCACAUAGAAGACGACCACAGCCCACUCCCAGGCUGGAUGAUCGAGUCUCUCAAGGCCGUUAAAUACAAUGGACUCCAAGCACUUCUUCGUCCCCGAAGGCCGUAGAGCCAUCGAGCUUGUGGCAGGCAAAGAAAGCGCAUUGGCCCAAGUCGUCUUCACCAAGCCCGGCAAGCUCUACGCCCUUACAUUCUCUGUAGGCGACUCCAACAACGCCUGCGAAGGCUCCCUCAUCGUCGAGCAGUUUGCCGGCAAGGACACCCUCAAGGUGCCGUACCAGUCCAAAGGCAAAGGGCCCGUCAUUGACGAUGUGAAGCUUAGUGUUCGUAAAGUACGUGUUUGAUGAAAUGCCUUCCAGAAAAGUUAUGCAGCUGGUUUGGUCUUUUAGCUGAUUAAGUUAUAUAAAUAAUGUUAUGGGAGGGGGCUUUUGAAAUGUUAUAUGUGACGUGUAACAGUGUUUAAAAUAGAGGCAUUUAAACUUCAGGACUUAAAUAAGAUUAUAUGUUCAUUACAAGCACUCAAAAACGCAGCAGCCCUUUUUUAGUUCUUCCAUAAACGAACUGGCAGCAGCAACUCUUUUUUUUCUUCCCCAAAGCACAAAUAGCCGUAGCCCUUUUGAUUCUUUUGAAAUGCAUGACAGCAGCCAUUUCUUUCUUUCUUUCUUUCAAAACAUAGACAAAAAGGCAGUAUCCUUUUUUUCUUUUCCUUUCAAAACGAAUAGGCAGCCCCAUUAUAACCUAGAUCCGUAAAUGAAUAGCAUGCGGCAUCAGCCGGAAAAUCCUACUGUAAUCACAUCUAUAUAUAAACUGCAGUAGGAGUCUUAAACGUGACAUAAAACUCUACAUGAUUGAGAUGACAUGGGAUGAGAUUGAAUGGCAAACUGAUUGCAAAAUAUAGCACGUUUUUCUCACACAUGUGGUUGACACCAAAUUCUCUCUAAAUAUAUAAAACCUAUUUAGCUAACAAUAUCUACAAAUUAGCCACAACAACUAAAUGAGCUGUUGUUUAAGUCCAAACAAAAAUAACCAAGCCAAUCAGUUCGUAUGCAGCCAAAAUUAAAUGUAUUUGAACCAAAACUACGUGUAAUGCAUGUGCAUGACGAACUUACUUGAGUGGAUAUCUCUAAAACACUUGUUAUUUUUGUGAUCAAAAGCAGGAGAAAGACUUUGAGUAAAAUAAUUACAAUUAAAACAUGCACUAGUCUAAGACAUUACAGACUCAAACGUUUUAUUAAGAAUUGCCAAUUUUUUUCUAACAGAUCUUGUUUGAAUUAAUAAGUUAUGUAUUAUUUAAAGAUUGUUUGAAUUGUACAUCACCAGGAUAAGAUUCAACAAAAGAAAAAAAAUAGUGGGAUAAGGACUCCUUGAUAGGGGUGGCAUGGGCCAGGCCGGACCCAAAAUUGGAGACUGGACCCAUUUGUAAAUGAAAAGUGGCGAAGUGGAGCAAGUUUUGUUAUUUUUAAAAUGAAACCAAACCCAACUCCGCAGCCCGUUUGAAAUAGGCUUGUUUUUACAAAUCCACAAUCUUUUUUCUUUUAAGAAAUAAUAAAGGAAAAAAAUAGGUGCAGAGCGGGACAAUCUAAGAAGAUAUAAUAAAGAUUCUCUCUCUGGCAAACCAUCCAAGAAGGAAAAAAAAAAAAAAAAAAAAGAUUAUAUGCAUAGCUUGAAUUGGUUAGGUGAUUUGCGAUUUCUCUAGCAAACCCUCAACUUCCAAGACUUCUUCUUCAUUGUCAAAACCCGAGAAAUGGACGACGACAUCGUAUUAACAUUACAAAAAUUAACUAAUAUUGAGCUAAGAAAUGAUCAAAGAAAAGGAAAUGGAAGCAAAGAAAGAAGGGGAAAUGUAAAGAAGAAAGAUUGUUUAGAUUAAUGGAUUGAAUAAUGAAAAUACAUUCACUGCUUUAUAUGCAGUAGCCGUUGCACAUUGACACCAACAAACUAACAUAUUUGUCUAACAGAAGCUUAACAGACAACCAACUAAUUCUAACCAAUUUUAACUGUUUUUUAUGUUGACAUGUACAUUGGCCUAGCUUGAGAUUGUUGCAUUAUUUGACAAAUGUUGGUCCAUGUAAUGCUUUGGUGAGAAUGUAUGUUGUUUUGCCCUUUCUGUUUGAAUGUAUUGUACCAUCAAAUCCUUCUUUUUCACCUCUUCUGAUAAAGUGAAAAUCUGUAUCCAAAUGUUUGAUUCUAGUGUGAAACACUAUAUUUGAAUUUUGAACAUAGUGUUAAAGAAGAAAGGUUAUCACAGUGUAACAAUGGUGGUUUAGCAAUGAAUUGAUGUAGAUCCUUCAAUAGAAGUUUUAUCCAGACCAUGUCUACAACACAAUGUGCUAGGGCUUUGUAUUCUGCCUCAUUAAAGCUUCUUCAUACUGAUGUCUGCUUCUUUGACUGACACGAGAUAGGAUUAAGUCAUAUAUAAACAACAAAUCUUAUGAUUGACCUUCUGGUAUUGGGAUCAACUGCCCAAUCAGAGUUUGAGUAUGUAUUAAUUGAUGUAUCUAAUGAUGCUGAGUAUGUCAAACCACAUUGCAUUGUUCCUUGGACAAACCUUAUUACCCUUUUAACAAAAUUAAAAUACAUAUAUGGGUAUUUGUCAUAUAUUGACAUGCUACAUUUACAGUAUAUGACAGAUGAGGCCUAGUAAAGGUUAAAUAUUGUAAAACACCAACUAAGCUCCUGUAUUCAUUAGGAUCAGAUAAGAAUGUACCCUUAGCUGUUAACAACUGAGUAUGUGGCAUGGAGUUGUAGUUGGUUUGCAAGAAUCCAUCCUAGCUUUGUGUAUCAAGUUUUUUACAUGCUUAGACUGAUUUAUGAAGAUAUCAUCCUUCUCUUUAUAUUGUAUUUGCAACCCCAGAAAAUAUGACAACUUUCCUAUGUCUUUUAACUCAAACACUUCAUUGAGUUCUUGAAUAACUGUUUGCACCUUAACAGAAUUAGAUCUGUCAAUAUAAUAUCAUCUACAUAUAACAGUAGAGUUAUCAUAUCUUCUCCAUCAUGUUUAACAAAUAAAGUGGUAUCAGAAUGUGACAUUUGAAACCCCAUUGUAGGCAAAUACCCUGUGAACUUUGCAUUCCAAGCGCUUGGUGCCUACUUCAAACCAUACAUUGACUUUACUAAUUUGCAAACAUAGUUUGGAAGUGUAGAAUCUACAAACCCUUGAGGUUGCUUCAUGUAUACCUCAUCUUCCAAUUCACCUUGCAAGAAAGCAUUUUUUAUGUCAAGUUGUCUCAAUUCCCACUUAUGAUGAGCUACAAGUGAAAUUAUCAACCUGAUUGUUGCAUGCCUAACAAUUGGACUAAAUGUCUCAAAAUAGUCCAACCCAAGUUCUGGAGUAUACCUCUAAGCAACUAAUAAAGCCUUCUACUUUCAAGUUGGACCAUCAAGAUUCUUCUUAAACUUAUAUACCUAUUUGCUUCCAAUAAUGGCUUUGUGAGUUGGUGGAAGAACCAAAAUUCAUGUGCCUUGGCUUUUCAAUGCAUCAAACUCUUCUUGCAUUGCACUUUGCCAAUUGGUAUUUAUUGUUGAACUUCUAAAAGAUGAUGGUUCAGCUAUCUCACUGCUAUGUGCAAGAAAAGAAAACCCACAAUAGCUAGACUUUUAAUCAUCAAGCUUCAAAGUUUCCAAUUUUGGCAAUGUUGCUAGAAGGUGGCAUAAUUUCUCCUUGAUAAAGUACCAGUUUGUAAUCUAGUUUGUAUUUUCGGUGCUGGCAUUUAUUAUGUCUUUUUUAUUGUAAUAUAGAGGUAUCAAAGGGAAAAAUUACCUCCAGUUGUGCAGGGUCUAGGACAACUAACAUUGAAGUUGUAAGUAGAGGAAAGUGAUGUAAGUGAGUUGUUUCAGAUGCUAGAGUAUAAUUGGAUUCAAUUGAUGCAGAUACCUCCUAUGUACCAGUAGAAUCUAUUGUUACAAAAAACUCAAUAUCAAAACCAUUUGAAGAACUUGAAGAAGUGUAGUCAAUGUUGUCAUGGUUCUCAUUCACAAACUGAUGAACUAGACAUUUGAGUAUUGACAGAUACCUUAGCUCUUGUAAAUCCACAUUCUUGUAUGGAAACAUUGUUUCAUCAUAUAUUAAAUGUCUAGAAAUGAUAAACUUUCUAGACUGUCUAUGGAAAAAAAAUCACUCCCUUAUAUCCCACUACAAAUCCAAUAAAAAAACACAUAGAUAUUCUUAGCUACAAUUUAUUCUCAUUAUGGAUACACAGCUGUACCAAAUACCUUUAAAUCUUGCAAUGAUGGAUUACAACCAAAUAAAACCUGAUAUGGUGACUUCAUAUUCAAAACUUACAAGGUAUUUUGUUUAUAAGAAACACAGAAUGAGCACAUACAUGAAACCACAACUGUUGAGGUAAUUGUGCAGCAGUGAGCAAUGUUAUUGUUGUCUCCAAUAUGUGUCCAUGUUUCCUCUCAGUAAGUCCAUUUUACUGAGGGGUAUAUGGACAUGAAAUCAUUUGUACAAAUCCAUUGUAUUUAAAAAACUCAUCAAACUUAUGACUUGUAUACUCCCCACUACCAUAUGUUGGCAAACACUUAAUAUUGUAACCAAACUAAUUUACAACAAGACUAGAAUUUCUGAAAGACAUAAAAAACUUCUGGUUUAUUGAUCAAAGGGAAAAUCCAUACAUAUCUUGUGAAUUCAUUAACAAAGCUCACUUAAUACUUGUACUCCUCAAUGGAUUUUGUAGGUGAAGGACCAUAAAGAUCUGAGUGUACUUUCUAAAAAGAAAAAAAAUACAUGACUCUUUCCUAUCUACAAAUUGUAACCUAAACAUCUUGCCAUCAAUACAAAAUGAACACAAGUGUUGUUUGUCAUCACAAGAACUAACUAUAUCUUACUAUUUUAGCAUUACAGAUAAAACUUCAUUGCUUGGAUGACAACACAUUUGAUUCCUAUUGUAGAGGUCACCUUUUGACCAAGCAAUUCCAUUGAAUUUUGUACUGAAGAAACUGAACUCUUUGAUAACAUCUUCAUUGGAAUCCGAAACAACUCACCAUCACUGUUUAUUCCUUGAUAGAUUACAACUUUGGUUACCUUAUCAUACACAUAAAAAUUAGUGUCAUCACAUAUAAACUAGUAAUAGUUAUCUUUACAUAACUGUUUUACUGAUAAAAGACUAACAGCAAUUGUAAGAACAUGUAAUACACUCCUCAAAAUUAAGGAAUAUGGCAUUGUUUGUACCUGUGCAAAGCCAAUGUGCUCAAUUGAUAAACCUUCUCUAUUACUAACUGUUAUUUUGUCCUUACCUUGAUAUGGUGUCACAUUUUAUAAAGAUUGCACAUCAGCUGUCAGGUGAUGAGAUGCUUAUGUGUUUACAAUCCAUGAUUCAUUGGAAAAAAGUGACUAAGUAAAUUGUAAUGAUUGAGGUGCUUGAGCUUGCAUAGCACUCAGAGAAUGAGCAAGUGCAGUCCCUUGAUAUGAAAAUUAUCCACAUGGCAACAAUCUAGAGCAAUAUGUUUUUUCUUUCCACAAAUUUGACACUCCAUAGUUGUCCAAUAUAACUAAAAGCAAUUGAUCAUUUCCAACAAUUUGGUGUAGUGUGUCCUCUCUUGGAACAAAAUUGACACUCAUGAACAAUGUGUCCUAAUUUCAGUAUUUCCAGACAAUGACUACAAUUCCCACCAGAUUGCUUGUUACCAAAGGAUUGACCUCUACCACUACAUGACUUGUAAUUCCCAUUGCCAUUUGUCUUUGGUCCAUAAUACUGUUUUGAUUCAUUGCUUGAAUUAUCAUUGAACUGUCUAGGUGCAUUAUUUUGUCCAAUAAAACCAUAACUAUUUGAAAAAUCAAAAAAUGGUGCUGAUUACUGAUAUGGUGCAGAUAACGAUGCAGGUUGUUGAAACUUUGGUUGCUAAAAUGGCACUUGCUGCUGAGCAUCACCAAACUGAUUAUUAACAUAUGGAAGAUCUUACUAAGAGAUACAUUGGUUGAAAUGCAUUUUGUUGAAGAAAUGAAGAACCAGUAGCACUUCAAGCACCAGAGAAAAAGUUUUGUGCUGGAAAUUGAACAACACUUUGUUGAGGAUAUGGUACACCAAAACAUAAAACAUUAUUUGGUACCCUAGGAAGUGUACCUCCAGUCGAAUAUGAGAUAUGAUUAGAAUUACUCGAAGCUCCUUGUGAUAUACCAGACAUAGAUGAAGAUGAAUCGGUAGAACCUUGCAUAUACAAACUAGAGAAGUUACUUGCCAGCCCAUUUACCAUAGAAUCAUUUUCCUUUUUGCACAUAAUAGUUGUUCCCUGAAUUUUCUCAAAGAAAAAGAAGUAUCCCUUGUGAGGAUCACAAUUCUUAUAAUUGAGUACUCUCUUGGUAAACUAGAUAAGGCAGCAACAAAAAAGUCAUUAUUUGAGACAAACUCACCAGCUGCAAUCAACUGUUCUUUAAUAUUCUUGAGCCUAGAUAAGUAUUGCUUAAUAGAAUCACUCCCUUUUUGCAUAAUCUGAAACUCAGCUUUCAGAGCACUCACUCUUGCCUUGGAUAUAUAUGCAUACCUAUCUUGUAAACUAACCCAAGCGUCAUGUGCAAUUUUACACCCCAAAACAUGUUUAAUGUAUUCAUUAGACAAUGUUGCAAUAAGCAAACUAAGCAAUGUUAAAUCUAUUACCUCCUAUUCAAGAAAUGUGUCACUAAUUUCAUUAGUUACUCCACACUUAGUAUGAAUCACAAACUUUGGUGGACACACAGCAGUGCUAUCAAAGUGAUCAAAAUAUUUAUAAUCUUUAAGAAUUGACUUGAAUUGAAAAACUCAUUUCGAGAAAUUCUUGUCAUUCAACUUUAUAGUAAGCAUUCCUAAUAACCCUUCGAUUCUAACAGAUGAAGAUGUCAUGUUUAUCCAAUCAAACUUAACUAAUCAAGAGAGACCUCUAAUUAUAUAAUUUAAUAGAAAUGGCUUCGUUUCCACAAAUCUUAAGGGAAAGAUGCCUUCGUGCCUACAAACCUUAACACAAAUGGCUCAAAUCGUAACUUUCUUCUAAUGGCUUCAUGCUUUUCAAGCUUCUAGCUACUUAACAUCAAAUUACAAAAGCUACAAGAUUGCAUAAACUAACCCAGAACUAGAAAACUUCAUAUUUCACAGUAAUCUUCAGGAAAAAACCAAAAGAUCAAGAAAGCUUAUAUCAUCUGAGAUUCUUCAAAAUCAACACACCAGAACAACUCAAAAUCACUUUGUAGUGCACAAAUUGAAACCAGUGGAACAAAAUCACCAAAAACUCCAAUUGCCAUUUAAGAAACCUCCAAUCGCCAUUAAUGAAUCUUGAAGAUUGUGAAACAAAUCAACAAAAAACAACACCGAGAGCCCUAGAAAAAUAUCAAAUAUUUGAACCACAACAGAAUCAUUGGCUCGAUACCAUACUAACAAUACAAAAAUCAACUAAUACUGAGCUAAGAAAUGAUCAAAGAAAAGGAAAUGGAAGCAAAUAAAGAAAGGGCAAUAUGAAGAAGAAAGACUGUUUAGAUUCAUUAAUUGAGUAUUGAAAAUACAUUCACUGCUUUUCAUGUAGUAGUCAUUACCCAUUGAUACUAACAAACUAACAAAUUUCUAACAGAAGUUUAACAGACAACCAACUAAUUAUAACCAAUUCUAACUGUUUUUAUGUUGACAUUGACACUGACCAAUACACUUGUGACACUUGCUCUAUUUCUUCACUUAUCACAUUGUACAUUGAAUCUUCCAAGAAUGAGGAUGCGACUACUUUCAACAGCAACCUUUCACUUCCUCUUCCUAAAUUCUCCAAUCUCUUCAUCUCCAUGUUGUAUGGCAGUCCAGACCUUCAUCUAACACUUGGAUUUUUAUGGAAUUGAGAUUUAUGCUUUAGAGCUACAAUUUGUGUUUCAUGGGUCCUAUGCACAGGCGAAAUUUUCAAUGGUGGAAACCGUUCGGGUUGAAAUCUUGUUUCCUUACAUUUUUUUACCUGUCCGGCCUAACUAAUUGUGUGGAACUACCCCACCUCAUCCUGCUUUGUUGUUAUAAUUUUUGGACUCACCCUAUACACGCCUUGAACUGCAUGAACCUACCCCGAUCGCGGGUCCAGGACUCAUUUGCCCACCGCUGGUCUUUGAGUAUUUUAUCUAUGAAAAAGAUUAGGCUUUUUAGCCAAAAUGGUCCCUGAGAUUUGCAUAACACAUCACUUUGGUCCCUAAGAUUGAAAAUCAAUAGAAAUAGUCCCUAAGAUUGUCCACCAUCCAUUAUUUUGGACAUUUCUUUAAAAACUCCGUCAAGUGUCCCAGAGCUCUUGGCCGGAAGUUUGAGCAAUUUUCAAAGCUUUGUAACUCAAUCGUUUCUUAACCAAAUUCGACUCAUAAUAUAUCAAAAUGAAGAUAGGAAAGUGUAGAAUAUUAUACCUAUUUGGAAACCCAAUGGUUACUAGAGAUGGCCGAAAAAUAGCAUGAAAGGUGACUAGUCUGCGGGAAAAUUGGAAAACUCGCCAGAAACUGGGUAAACUUUAAAUGUUCAUAAUUUCUUCAAUACUCAACGAAAUCGAGUGAUUCAAAAAAUAAAAUCAUACUUCUUGACAAGAGGAAGAGAAUGGUAUCUUUCUCGAUGGUUAACUUGUUGUGGUUUGGCUGGAAAACGGCUCGAAAGUAGCUAACUUGAGACCAGGCCAUUUUCAAGUAGUUUUUCAGCCAAACAACGGCGAGUUAGCCAUCAAGAAAGAUACCAUUCUCUUUGUCUCAUCGAGAAGUAUGAUUUUCAUUUCUGAAUCACUUGAUUUCAUUGAGUAUUGAAGAAGAUAUGAACGUUUAAAGUUUACCUAGUUUCUAACGAGUUUUCCAGUUUUCCCGAAAACUAGUCACCUUUCAGGCUAUUUUCCGGCCAUCUCUGGUAACCAUUGGGUUUCCAAAAAGGCAUAAUCUUGUUCUACACUUUCCUAUUUUCAUUUUGAUAUAUUAUGGAUCGAAUUUGGUUAAGAAAUGAUUGAGUUACGAAGCUUUAAAAAUUGUCUAAACUUCAAGCUAAGAGCUUCAAGACACUUAAUGGAGUUUUUAAAGGAAGGACAAUAAUGGAUGUUGGACAAUCUCAGGGACCCUUUCUAUUGAUUUUCAAUUUCAGGGACCAAAGUGAUGUGUUACACAAAUCUCUGGAACCAUUUUGGCUAAAAAGCAAAAAGAUUGACAUAAUAUAUAGUAUUUAAUUAUUAAUUUUUUAUUAAGACGUGUAUUAUGGUGUGAUGUAUUCCCUAAAGUAUCAUUUUAAAUUUCCAUAAUUUGAGAAAAUUUCCAUCAAUUCUGUCUAAAGCAGUAGAUAUUGAUAUUGAUAUAUCUAGUGAUAUUUCUAUAAAAUUAACUGAAAGGUUCGUGAACUAGCAAAACUUUUUUUUUGUUGUUGUACAAGUGGUGUUUUUGUUUGGGUUUUUUCUACCACAAAUACUUUUGUAUGUUUUGUAGGUCCACAAUUUUCAUCUUUUAUGUUUCAAUUUGAUCAAUUUGGUACUUCAUGUUUACCCCCACAUUUGGUCCUAUUGUCUAUCUCCAUGAAAAAACUUUGUUAAUGCGCUAGUGUGGCAUUGUCAUUUCUGUGAAACUCAUACUCCACUUAUUUUUUGCCAUGUGGAUAUUUAAAAAAAAAAAACACACACACACACACAUUUAGCCGCACCUAAUCCCUAGACCUUCCUACCAUCACUCGAGGCAUUCUUACAAAAGAGGAUGGUGCACCACUUUCUGUAAAGGAUUUGAAGCUUGCUCUUAGCGUUGUACUUUAUCACCCAUAUUGGUACCAUUCCUCUCACUUUUGGUUCCCGUAGAUUUCAUCUUCGUAGAGUUUUUCCAUUCUUGAACUCCAGAAAAAUCGUCUAUCUAUUGCUCAUUAUCUGAGGAAAACCUUCUCUUUCUUAUUUUCCCUCCCAACGCCUGUCAAAUUUAUGACUUACCAACUAGUUUCUUACUCUUUUAUAGCCCCUAUAAGGAUGAUCUUUAUCUGUUGUCCCUAUUAUCUACUACCUUCAUUGUUCCUUGCUCAUUUGUUGCCAUCUCUUCUUCCACUUAACAUCAACGACUUGGCCAUCUUUCUUUUCAUGUCUCAUUUAUGUUCUAGCCUAGGUUCCAAUGUUAAAAUUAAUUAGUCUUUUUGUAUGGGUUGUGCCCUUAGCAAGUCUACUAAACUUCCAUUUUAUUUAAUAAUAAUCGUCCAACUUUAUUAUUUCACACUAUUCAUUCUAUUGUAUGGAUGUCUCUUGUUACUUCUGCUAGUGGGUUUUGUAUUAUGUCCUUUUUACCGAUGAAUUUUCUCACUAUUCCUAAAUAUAUCCCAUGAAGCAAAAAUAUGUGUUUGACCAUUUAAAAAAUUUUGUGGCGAUGGUUCGCAAUGUUUUUCAUUCCACCAUUAUGGUUCUCCAAAAUGACAGUGCAACAGAGUAUGUGAAUCAAUAUUUUCCCCAUUUUGUCAUGAGUUGGGCAUUGAACACCGGUAUUCUUGCUCUCAUACUCCUCACUUUCGAUAUCUACGUGCAAGGCCCGGGUAUGUCGGACUACGUAAACCGAAUGUGAACUCAGCAGCUCAAGGAAUGGAAGUUCGAGUUGCGUAACCACUACAAGACUUUUGAAAGUCAUGAGGAAGCUCGGACCUAUCUGCCCCUUGAAUUCUGGAAAUAGUACCUUCUGGGGGUGAAGUCGUGGGACAAGGGAAGCUGUUUUAUCAUCAACAAUAAAAUUGUUUUUUAUUUUCAAUAUAAUUGUAUGAACUUUGUUAUUAAUGAAAUAAAAUUUGUUUAAUAUCUCUAAUAAUUAAUAAAACACUCAUUGUCAACCAAAAUCCUAUGAAAUUACCAGUUUAACCAUCUAAUUAAAAUAUAACAUAAAUAAGAAAUAUGGGGCAGAAAUGUAAUUUCACACAACUAAAUUUUGCAGUUUUUUUUUCAAAGUCUCACCUACAUGUAACCUUAACAUAUCUUUAAUUAAAAAAUAAUAAUAAUAAAUAAAAAAUCUUCCCAUUCCCACAUUCUCUAUCACUCUCUUCCUCUCUCCUUCUAUUUCAAAAACAAAAAUAAAAAAAUUUCUCACACAUUUUGUGUGUACCCAUAUGCUAGUUAUGAUAUUAAUAUAAUAAUAUUUAGUUAAUUAUUAAAUUUAAAAUUUUUAUUUUUUAAUAAUAUUUAAAUCUUGCCCAACAACACACUUCGUCGGCCAAAAGUUUCAAGUAAAUAUUUUUCUUCAUUUAACUCGACGAGAGGCUCGUCGCCUCUCGUCGGGCAAAGUUGACCAAAAAUUAUUUUUAAAUUUAAUAUUUUGCACGACGACACUUUUUCAUCGAGCGAAACAAGUCCGUCGAGCCUUGGUGAUCAACACAGGCUUACCCAACGGAGUUUCGUCGCUAGAUUCGUCGGGUCAGGCUUCACAAAUCUUUAUGUUUGUCAGUAAAAAUGUCUUAUGAUGAGUUUUGCACAACAAAUUUUACCCCACGGAAUUCUGUCGCGUUAAAUGCUACACGACGAACGUUUUUCUAAGUUUUUUUUUUAGUGACACCGACACAUAACAGCUAAGCGAAAUGCUAAGAAGACUCUCUCAAAAUGAGACUCUCCAUGUACUCUUUAUCACCUCACAAUUUAACAUUAAUUCCAGUACUAACAUUAUUAAACAUUGUGCCAUGAAGAUGAGAGAUUUUUCAAUGUGACCGGUACACGGGGUGGUACACCACGUGUCACUAUACAAAUGAUGAGAUGUGUGCUAAAAAGUUAAUAACUUCAAAAAUAAAAUUUCUCACCAUUUUUAUAAAACACGUAGUGUACCACUUGUGUUCCUGCCAUAAUUAAAAAUUUCUCCAUGAAGAGUCCAUGAGUUAGUGUAUCCUUGGCAUUCUCUCACAGUUAAUUCGUCAAAAGACGUCAAAUGUGAUGGAAUGCACUCGAGGAAGGUGUUUAUCAGUCCUUCAGUUGCCGUCACCUUCUGUUAAGGUGUCCAUCGAUCAGUUCAUUUAUCAAAAUGUCGGAAUAUUAAUCGUAUUCCAGCGCAGCCAUGUGGCUCUGCGCUCCGCAUGCUAAGACUCAAACUUAUUUUGAAUGGCUUGUCGAUAAGUCUAUUAACCUCCCCCAGAAAAUAGUACCUGAAAUCCCAAUCUAAGCAUUUUCUUAAACUUUAGUAAGUCAUAUAAAAUAAUUAGCAUUUUUAAUUAAGAUUUAAGAGAACGUGUCAGUUGUUUACAAACACCAAGAAAUUUCUAUAUUCUUCGAGUUUAUGGAAUUAAUAUUGCCAGCCCAAUAGAAAUGGUUUCACCUCAAAGAUUUUAAUUAUUAUGUUUCUUUCAAACCCCAUAAUAGUGUACUAUUCUAACAAUAAAUUAUAAAUUGGCUAUGUUUUCAAAUAAGAUGUUUGAAAGGGGUUUAAAAGAAAAACUGCUUGAACUUUUUUUUUAUUUUUUAUUACAAGAUCUACACUAAUCUAAAGUACUAGGGUGAUAGGAAAAUUUUGAACUCGAAAUAUAAUCUAUACAAGUUUAUUCUUUUUAACCUAAUCCGAACCAAUCAAUCACAAAUAAUUGUAUAUUAUUAUAUAGUAAUAAAUUAAUAAUAGAUAGAGAUAAUUAAGAAUAUUUUGUUAGUGUCUGCAGGUGUAACGUUUUUUCGGUGAAGAUUUGCUUGGGCAGUGGGUUUUUCUAGAUAUGGACCACCCCAAAUUAAGCAAGAGUUUCGUAAUAUACGCAUGUUUUGCAAAAUUCGAGGAACGUGGUGCGUAGCCAAAAGAUACUUCAAAACUCAGAGGCUUUUCCAUGGCGGCCAGCAGUAUAUAAACCGCUGCUCACUCCCUGCGAUCUCAACUCAAUCCCUUCCAACCCUUUUCUCUCUCACGGAUAAAGACUCUGAGAGCCACGAUGAAUAACAAACUCUCAGUGCUGCUGGUUCUGCUAUGUGCAGCUAAUUUCCACGCCACCUUAUCAUUUGUCACAGAUGGUAAGCUCUCCUCUGCUAUUUACGCUGUUUUUAUCUCUUUAUUUAUGGACGGAUCGGAUAAUUGAACUGAAUUAUGAGAUAGUUUUAAGAAGGUGUUUUUGCGGUUCGUUAUUUUUAAUGAGGAGUACUUUGAAACAUGUACGUAUAUAUAUGACUCUGCCCAGGGAAAUCCAAUCCUAGUACUUGGGUUUACCAAUUUCAAGUCACUCGGUCAUGCUGGAAAAUAGAUUCGUUUUAUUUUUUGUGAUCACUAUGCUCAAAUACCUAACAAUAUUAAUAGGGACACUUAGGAUGCGGUCCCUAGCUAUCAAUAUUUUUUAUUGAAACCUUGUUAGUUUUUAGUUUUUGAUUGAGGUCCCUGACAUUAAUGUAAUAAUGUAAGUUACUAUAUUCUUUAAAUUAAAAAUUAAAAAUUGAAAUUUGUAAUUGUUUAUAUUAAUGAGAUUUUAAAUAAAACCCAUAAUUUAUGAGAUUAAAAAUAAUAAAAUAUAAAUUAUACUCUCUAUUAUAUUGUGUGUGUACAUAUAUGUAUGGGUACAUUAACAAAAAUUAACAAAAAAAGUUAUUGUACCAAAACAUGGAUACAUUCUCAAAUCAACGAAAAAGAAUGUACCCAUAUAAGUUUAAACAUGGAUUAAAAAAUUUGAAAGGAUUUUAUAUUAAAAAAAGGGUACAUUUUACAUAUAACAAAUUGAUAUAUUUGAGAAUGGGUACAUUUAAGAUUAAAAAAAUUAAAAAAUUAUAUGAAUGGGUACAUUUAAGAUUAAAAAAUUGAGAAUCUUUUUAUAUAUAUAAAAAAAACUAAUAGGUACAAACUUAAUUUAAUUUAAUUUUUUAUUAUUUUGGAAAUGUUUGAAUUGAAAAUUAAUUAGAAGUUUAAUAGAGGUGUGAGUAUUAAACCCUAAAUUAAUUACUAAUUUUUAUAUUAAAAAAUUAUAUAAUAAACAUGUAAAUUUAUUAUCACAUUAAUGCUAGGGACUUGAAUCAAAAUUUGAGAACUAAUAAGGUCUUAGUCAAUGAACAGUAAGAAUUAGGGACCGGAUACUAAUUUUUCCAUAUUAAUAUGUAGCCUUUCAAUUUUAUAUUUUCAUACAGCUCCUAGGUAUGUUGUCAUAAAUAUUGAAAUCUUGUUUUUUAAGUGAUCUCCAUGUGCUUCUAGUAAGUCUCUAUGCAAUAAAUGAGAGAUUUUUUCAGUUUAUUAGAAAAUUGUGAAAUAUACCCUUGAAGUUAUGUCAUCCAUUUAUAUUAUAAUACAUGGUAUACCAUCUUAUGUUUUCAGUAUACAAAAACUUCUUACAGUGAGUUCAAACCUCUUUUAACUCGAUGAAGAGGUUGUUUUCAUUGAUUUCUUACUUGUCUAGUCCUGCAAAUAAUAAAUUUCUUCUAAGUUUUUAAUAGAGCGAUAGCAUCUAGACUAAGUCAUAAAUGAGUCAUAUAAAAUUAUUAUUUACAGAGGUCAAAUUUAAGAACCUGUAACUAUGAAUGCUGAGAAAUACCACCAAAAUGUAAGAUUAGUUAGUAAUUUCUUCUUCUAAUUUGAAAACACAAAGUAUAAUUGAAAGAAAAAGUAAUAUGAAAAUGGCCUUCUAUAUGGCUCCAAGUCUAACUGAAUUCUCAUCAUAUCAUGAUCGGUCGACACAUAACAUGUGAUCCUCUCGUGGCAUCUAUAAUAUGAUUUAUUAUUAGGAACAAAGGCAAAUACGUACAAUCUUGCAUGCUAUUAAAACUUAAGGAAAACUAAUGAAAAGAGCUUCUAUAAUAUGAUUUAUUAUUAGGAACAAAGGCAAAUACGUACAAUCUUGCAUGCUAUUAAAACAACUUAAGGAAAACUAAUGAAAAGGGCUUGAAAACUUUGAGUUUUAAUGAUAAGGACAAAAUAAAGGGUAAAGUGAAUAGUACCAUGAUUGACUUUUUAGUGUAAAAAUGUGGUUUUUCGUUAAAGUGAACAGUACCAGGUGCUUUUCGUUAAAGUUCCCUAAAACUUAUCAAGUUAACUUUCGGUCUUCCUUUUCUUUUCAUAUUAUUUCAUAAAAUAUGUCAUUUUCUGAUAAUUACUUGAUAUUAGUAAAUGUCGUACAAACAAUAUCACUUCAAAGUCAUUAAAUUUAAUUUUGUUAAGACUUUUUGCCUUUAAAUGAUGUGGUGUGUGACAAUAUGCGAAUAAAUCAAAUAUUGUCAUGCCAAUUAGCAAUCACAACCGUAAGAUCUGUUGAAUGAAUUUACCUGUUAUUGACACUAACUCUAUUCAUUUCUCAGGCUUAUUACCCAACGGCAACUUCGAGUACGGUCCAAAGCAAUCAGAACUCAAAGGCACAGUAGUGACGAACCCUCAUGCAAUUCCCAACUGGGAAAUCUCAGGCUUCGUCGAGUACAUAAAAUCAGGUCAAAAACAAGGUGACAUGGUGCUGGUAGUCCCCGAGGGCGGCUUUGCAGUGAAGCUCGGCAACGAGGCCUUGAUCAAGCAGAAGUUGAAGCUCACGAAAGGCAGCUUCUACUCCACCACGUUCACCGCUUCUCGGACGUGCGGGCAGGAGGCGAAGCUGAACGUGUCCGUCAAUCCCAACCUUGAAGAAAAUGACUGGGGAAUAAUGCCAAUCCAGACAAU
rnacentral:lncRNA from 1 species